ACUCUUAAGCUAGCCACUUUCAGGAUACUACUCCUCCAAUGCCUUGUAGCUUUAUACUGAUAGAUGAAACUAGUUAUCCAGACUCUUCUUGUAACUGUGAAGUAAUAUUUAUAUAGAUUUAUUUAUUAAGGAUAGAAUAUUAUUUUUAGUUUAAUUUAUAUAUAUAUUUUUUGUAUUUAGCUUAACACUAAGCAUUUAUAAUAAACAGAUCAUUGAGAAUUCUAGCUUCCUGUUUGUGUUUGAUCUUAAUUAUUUUAACAUGGUAUCAGAGCUGAUUUUAUGGAACAAGGUUUAAUCCAGAACACAGCUUUCGCGGAUCCAACUAUUAUUUUGGUAUUUCGUCUUCCCCUUCAGCUUCUGCAAUUUGGUAUUUGCGUUCAGAUUCUGCAAAUUUGUUUUGUGUUUUUGAGUAAUCGUAUAAUUUCGAGAAGAUAUUUGUUUAGUUUCUGUAAUUUCUAUUCAGUUUCUGCAAUUUGGUAUUUUGUUUUCCGCUGCUAUUGCAUUUUGGUUCUAUGUGAUUGUUGAUUAUGACUACUGAAAGAGAUGAUUCGCUUAAGUCUGUGAGUGUGAGGUUGGAUGGGAAGAACUAUUCGUAUUGGAGCUAUGUAAUGAGAAAUUUUCUUAAGGGUAAGAAGAUGUGGAGAUAUGUAAGUGGAACUUAUGUGGUACCUAAGAAUACUGAAGAAGGAGAUACUACUUCGAUAGAUGCAUGGGAAGCAAACAAUGCAAAGAUCAUUACUUGGAUUAACAAUUUUGUUGAGCAUUCUAUAGGUACGCAGUUGGUGAAGUAUGAGAUAGCAAAGGAGGUUUGGGAUCAUCUGCAAUGGUUAUUCACGCAAUCAAAUUUUGCAAAACAGUAUCAGUUAAAGAAUGACAUACGAGCUCUUCACCAGAAGAAUAUGAGUAUUCAGGAGUUCUAUUCUGCCAUGACAGAUCUUUGGGAUCAAUUGACUCUUACAGAAUCAGCAGAAUUAAAAGCAUGUGAUGCUUCUAUUGAACGUAGAGAGCAGCAACGAUUUGUACAAUUUUUAACAGCACUUCGUAGUGAUUUCGAAGGACUUAGAGGUUCAAUAAUGCAUUGUUCUCCACCACCUUUUGUUGACUCGGUUGUUAGUGAGUUAUUGGCUGAAGAAAUACAUCUUCAGUCGUAUUCUGAAAAGGGUAUUCUUUCUACUUCGAAUCCUUCUAUACUAGCAGUACCCUCUAAGCAAUUCUCCAAUCACCAUUAUAAGCCUUAAACAAGGGUUGGCUUCGACGAGUGCAGUUUCUGUAAGCAGAAAGUCAUUGGAAGGCUCAGUGUCCUAAGUUGAGACAACAGAAUCAAGCUUAAAAGCCUGGCAGCCAGUCACAAUCUAAUGCUCAUAGACCACCUCAGGGUUAUAAACCACCACACCACAAUACCGCAACAAUAGCUUCUUCAUGCUCUAUUAUUGAUCCUAGUACUUUGGUUGAACAAUUUCAGAAGUUUUUCUCCUUGGAACCACAAGCAAUGUUUGUUUCUUCUUCCAUAAGUCAGUUGCCUCAUAGUUCCUCAGGUAUGUCACAUUCUGAAUGGGUUUUGGAUCUGGUGCUUCACAUCAUGUCUCCAGAUUCUUCAUCUUUUACAUUUGUUUCCCCUUCGCUCUUCAUUCCUGUUAUGACUGCUGAUGACGCUCUCAUGCCCUUAGCAGGUGUUGGUUCUGUUGUCACACCUCACUUGUCUUUUCCUAAUGUCUAUCUUAUUCCGAACCUCAAAUUGAAUAUUGCUUUUGUUGGUCAAAUAUGUGAUUCUGGUGAUUAUUUAGUUAUUUUUUCCUCUUUUUUUUGUUGUGUACAGGAUCUGUAGUCUUAGAAGCUGAUUGGGACAGGCUGUAGGGAGAAUGGACUAUACAUUUUGGAUGAGUUAAAAGUGUCAGUUCCCGCUGCUGCUUCUACUAUUGUUGAUUUGUCUUCUUUUUGUUUGAGUCCUUCAUCUUCUAGUUUUUAUUUAUGGCAUUCUUGUCUAGGACAUGUUUUGUCUUCUCAUUUGAGAUUUUUGACAUCCACAGAAGCUUUAAGAAAUUUGAAAACUUGUGACAUUUCUGAUUGUAGUUGAUGUAAACUGACAAAAUUUUCCGCUUUACCUUUUAAUCAAAGUAUUUCUGUUUCUUCUUCACCAUUUGACUUGAUUCAUUCUGAUAUAUGGGGACCUUCUCCUGUUGCCACAAAAGGAGGGUCUCGAUAUUAUGUCUCUUUUAUUGAUGAUCAUACUCAUUAUUGUUGGGUUUAUUUAAUGAAACAUCGUUCUGAAUUCUUUGAGAUAUAUGCAGUUUUUUGAGCUCUUAUCAAAACUCAAUAUUCUAUUAUGAUAAAAUGUUUUAGGUGUGAUUUGGGUGGGGAAUACACUUCUAACAAAUUUUUUCAAUUGCUUGCCUUAGAUGAAACCAUCCAUCAAACUUCAUGUACAGAUACUCCUGAGCAAAAUGGUGUUGCUGAAAGAAAACAUAGGCACAUUGUCGAAACUGCUCGUUCUCUCUUGAAGCUGUGUGCAUACUCCGAUGCUGAUCAUGAUAGUGAUCCCAUAAAUCGCAAAUAUGUUACCGAAUUCUGUAUCUUUUUAGGUGAUUCUCUUAUUUAUAGGAAGAGCAAGAAACAAUCUAUUGUUUCUCAAUCAUCCACCGAAGCAAAAUAUCGUGUCAUGGCAUCUACUACCAAAAAGAUUGUUUGGUUAUGUUGGUUACUUGCUGAUAUGAGAGUUUUCUUUUCUCAUCCUACUCCUAUGUAUUGUGACAACCAGAGUUCUAUUCAAAUUGCUCACAACUCGGUUUUUCAUGAGCGAACUAAGCACAUUGAGAUUGAUUGUCAUUUUACUCGUCAUCAUCUCAAGCAUGGCACCAUUACUUUGCCUUUUGUUCCUUCUUCCUUGCAGAUUGCAGAUUUCUUUACUAAGGCGCAUUCUAUCUCUCGUUUUUGUUUUCUAGUUGGCAAACUGUUGAUGCUUGUAGCUGCCGCAUCAUGAGUUUGAGGGGAGAUGUUAAAUAAUAUUUAUGUUGACUUAUUUAUUAAGGGUAGAAUAGUAUUUUUAGUUUAACAUAUAUAUAUAUAUAUAUAUAUAUAUAUAUAUAUAUAUAUAUAUAUAUAUAUAUAUAUAUUCUUUGUAUUUAGGUUAACACUAAAUACUUAUAAUAAACAAAUCAUUGAGAAUUCUAGCUUUUUUUUGUGUUUGAUCUUAAUUAUUUUAACAGUAACCUAUAUCAAACUUUUUGUCAGAGUUUCAGAUUUGUAGAGAUACAAAACGUUAGUUCAAUAGUAUAUAGCAAGAUCGAUGUGUUCAGGACAUUUUUUUUAUUUGUUUCGCAUAAACAAAAGUACUUUUGUUAAUAAUACCAGCUCUCCCUUCAUUUUAUAAUAUGCUACAGCCAGAAAGAAAAGCAAGCAGAAGGCAGAAAUUAUGAAAUUGUAAUUAGAGAACCAUCAACCACAUGAACUGUUUUUGGACUGGAUCAAAAGCAGCAAUGGAAUAAUCAAUCCUUCCAAAUCAUUAAUCUGCAAAACAGAGCUGAAAAAUCCCAGUAACUGUCAAAGAUUAGUUCAGCAGAAAAGGUUUAAAUUAUUGAGUGAGUUUUCCAGGAUAAUUUUAUAAUACUUUCUAAAAUGAAGUUUUUUAAGAUAAGAGAGAAUUUGGCAGUGUGGUUGCGGUUGCUUUUUAAAUAAUUUUUUGUACCAAAAUGCAUGUUAAUGAUGUUUUUUUAUUUUUUAAAAAUUAUUUUUGACAUCAGCACAUCAAAACGAUCUAAAACAUACAAAAUAUAUUAAAUUUUAACCAAAAAAAUUAAUUUUUUUAAAAACACGGUGCAAAACUUGUACCACACACUACUGCUUUGUAUUUAAUUUAAUUUGAUAGAAUAAGAUUGAUUAAAUAGAAUAAGAUGAUUAGAUCUGAACGUAAACCUCUGGAUUGUUCUGAUAAUGAUUGAAUGAGACUUGAAAAAUAAUUUUACAUUGUUUUCUAUUAAUAAUUACAAUCGAUUGCAACUGAGAAUCAUUAAGAAUUGCGAAAACUUCAUAAUUUGCAUUUCACGCAUCAUUUAAAAAGAAGGGAAAAGGCUCAAAUUGAAACAACAAAAACUGGGAUUGCCGUUAAGAAGAUGAGAUUUGAUUGUUCACUUUGAAUUCAAAGACAACUUGUUUGGUCAGCAAGAAAAGAAGGUGUCGAAAGAGAACACAACCUAAUGUUUCAUAAAAAAAUAAUUUUUUUUGUUUAUAAUUAUUUAUAUAUUUUUAAAACGAUUCGAAUGUAUUAAAAUAAAUAAAAAAAUUAAUACAUUUUGAAUCAAAGAAAACAACCUAAUAACACAAUAUUAAAUGAAGGUAUUUAAGAAUAUAGUAAUAAUUGUUUUUCAAAAUACUUUUACUUCGAAAAUGCAUAAAAAUAACUUUUUAUUUAUUUUUAAAAAUACUAAAAAAAUAUUAAUUUAAAAUAAAAAAAAAAUAAAAAAACAAAAACAAACCAGCUAUAUCUGUUUCAUAAAAAACAAACCACCUAUCUCGAAAUCAAUAAGCAUUUGCAGAACUGACAUUUUAAAAUUAGCAGCAGACGACGCGCGGGAGAGAGUGACCAAGCGACCGACCCGUCAAGCUAGCUUAGAAAGAGAUAGAAAAGGACAUGGUGUGAUGGUAACUGUCAAGCCUCCACCAGAAGGCACCUGCUGCUGUUGGAUUGAUUAUUCAUUAGACAUUGUUGUGGGUACUUUUUAUUAUUAUUAUUAUUAUUUUAAUUUAAUAGUUAAGAUUUUUUAAGUUUUGAAAAAAAAAAAUCAACGAUGAAAACGAGCAUAAUUAUUUAUUCCAUCCUAAAGCUUCCAUUGCAUCAGAUGAAGAUAAUUGUUUUUUAAUCAUUGCAAAACCUAAUCAUGGGAGCUCAAAAGCAUUGAUGUGGUGGUGUUUCGUGUUAGUGUUUCACACCAGAUGUCCUUGUAGGCUUAAUGGGCCUAGAAUCCGACACAAAAUGGUGCAAGCCCAUGAUGAAUCUGGUUCUUGAACAGGUCAGCCCACCUUGUCCUUGAUAGAAGGGAAGGAAGGCUAUUUCAUACGGAUCAUGCCGCUCGUAUCCUCCAUAAAAUGGUUAAAACUACGAUAUUUUUUAAAAAUAUAUUAAAAUAAAAUCUUUUAGAUUUUUUUUACUUUUAAUAAAGAUAUAUAUAUAUAUAAAUUACUAAAAAACCAUCGAUUUAAUAUUUUUUCAAAACAAAUACACCUUUAAAAUUCACUCGAAGACAAAUAAAAACAUAACACCAAAAUUGCAUUUAAAUAUCAAGCUGGUAUAUUCUCAUAGCGUCAAGUGAAUCUGGUUCCACAUCCGAAAUCCUGUUAUUAGGGGAAUUUUGGAACACUCUGUGCUCAAUAGCAAAUAAAAGUGAGUUUAAAAAGAUAUCGAGAAUAUCAUAGGAGUUAUUUUUUAAAAUAAUUUUUAAUUUGAAAUAUAUUAAAAAAAAAAAUUUUAAUAUUUUUUUUAUUUUUUAAAAUUCAACUAACCAUAACUUUAAAAAAAUAUUAAUACAAGUAGGAGAAACACUAGCAUGAUUAUAAGCAUACAUACCCUUUUAGCAUGGCAUAAAUUAAACCGAGAAAAUAUGCGUUCUUUUCUUUUCCACCACCAAAGUCAUGCAAGGCAAAUGACUCCACAAAAUGUUGGUAACUUGCCAUUACGAAGUGUUUUUUCUUCUUUCCAGCAGCAAAUCAACAUUUCUUGACUAAUAAAUCCAGGGCUUUAAUUUAUGGAGUUUAGUCAGUAAAUUCAUUUGAUAUUAGCCAAAAUCAAAUACUGCUCGUACUAGUAAUAGUCAACUAAGAAAGAUUAGUAAUGUGUCUUUUUACUUAAUGACAAUGAGCUCUUGCUCUUGCAUGGAGGUUACAGGCAUUCGUACCCUUCAUUGGAUGAGUUUUUAGUUUAAAAAAUGCCUCGUUGCAGGACAAAGCCAUAUUAGUCUCACAUCUCUGCUAUAUAUGAUGUACAAUUCGUUAAUAGUAAUGUGAAUUCUUUUUCCUGCAAAUUACUGGCUUUGAGUAAAUGAUUAUGAUGAGCUGCAAGGUUUAUCUAUGGUGAAAAAAAGGAGAGAUCGAGUCAUGCAUACAAACCACCCCAUUCAUAUUAUUCCAACAGCUAACUAGGAGCAAAAUGAGAGAAGAAAACCCAGUCAAAUUAAACAAGAAUGAUACUAUACUGCGAGUAAUGGAAUCCGUUGAAGUUUCUGUUUUUAGAUGUUUUUAAAAAUAUAUAUUUUAAAAAAAACUUCAAAUUAAUAUUAUUUUUUCGAUGAUUUCACGCAUUAAUUUUGAAAAACCUCAAUAUAAAAUAAUAGCAAAACUAUAAAGAGAAACUCACAAAUAUAAUAAUUUAUUCAAUAAAAUACCCAUGAUAAAAUGUAUAAAAAUAACAUGAAUAGUUCGUUUUAGACAAGCAAAAGCUAAAUAUGUAAGAAAUAAAUUAUCAAGAAAUCUGGAAAUAUGCAAAACACACGUGGAGAUAAAGUAUAGUUAUAAUCAUAAACAUGAGCAAUAUUGCGCAACGAAGCUCAUGAGAUAGAAGUGUCACGCAUAGAACACAUAGCUUAAUUAUUUUUAUAGCUGUGUUUAUCUAAAGAACGUGUUGGUCAACACACCGUAAUCUCUUUUAUUCUAAUUAAGAGAGGGUUACGAGAGAAAACAAUCGCCCACAAACGCAUAAUUAGUUCACUUGCAAAGUUUUUAAUUGUGAUAGUUUUUUUUUCUAGUGUUUUUCACUCUAAAAAAUAUCAAUAUAAUAUUUUUUUAUUUUUUAAAAUUUAAUUUUAAUAUUAAUACAUUUAAAAAUUAUAAAAAAAAAUUAAUUUAAAAAUUAAAAAUAUUUUUUGAACUACUCUUGAAACUUGACGGGAAACAAACAUUAGUUAAAAGAUAUUCCAUCUAUUAAAAAAAACAUCCUCAGCAAAUAAAAUAGAAAAAUGGGUAUUUAAAAAUAAAUCCUCGAAUGUAUAUCUAAUAUUACAGUAGUAUCUUAGACUUCGACUCAUCCGUAGCAUCAAACCCCCCUUUUGAUUUGUCCAUAAUCACUUUCGAGGAUUCUUAUGAAUAAACAAAAAUUUCCUAAUCAAACCAUUACUUUAAUCGGAAGGUUUAUAAUAUUACUGUGAGCCACAAAGAUUCAAGUGCUUUCCCUUUCCCUUUUUCUACUUUAUGCAAAUUUUGUAUUUUUAAUCUCAUGAUUAAAUUAAGGCAGGGUUAAAAUUGCAAUUUGUCAUAAACAAAUACCGAUUUAAUGACGAGUAAAAAAAUAAUUAGAAGGGAAUCCACGCAUUAAGGAUAUAAGACAGGAUCUCGAAUUUAUCAACCAAGUUAAGAGAGGAGAAACGAUGCCUCUCAAACCCCUAAAAGUGAUAUCCUCCACUCUCGAGACAUGUUUGAUACAAGAGUAGAAGAGGGUUCAAACUUACCCUUAUAAUUUUCACCUCUUUUACUUGUAUUUGGUACAGGUUUGGAGAGAAGAGAAAUUUUAAUAGAGGCUAAAAUUUAACUCAAAAAAAUAUUAAAUGUUAACUUUAUUUUUGGAAGGGAAAAGUCUCAAGUUUUGUGAACUCCUUUUUUUUUUUAAUUUUUUUUUAACACUAUUAUAUUCUCUCUUUGUUUUCAUCUCCUUUCAUUUUAGACCAUAAAUAUAAGUAAUUUUAUUUUCUAUAAUUAUUUUUAAAUUCAGAAAUUGAUUUUACUUUUGUUAAAAUUCACAAUAAUCCAUAAUCUUUCUACUUUUUAUAAGACAUAUUUAACACUUCACUCGCAAAUCUCACCUCCUUAACAUUUCUCCUCCAAUUUUGUAACCCCGCUGCAAACACAACCAUUGUUAAGCUUCCUCCUGAACUGUUUUUUUCCGAAUUUUGCAGUGUAAUUAGACUCUUCAUAGAUACAAAAAAAAAAAAACGGCGAUAUUGUACCAUAUAAAUAAAAAUAAAAUAAGAAAACACAAUAAUUAGUAGAGAAAUACUAACUAUUGAAUGAAUCCAAGCUGCCAUCCAAAGAAAUUCCACGAAUCCAAGCUGCCAUCCAAAGAAAUUCCACAAUGCAAUUCCUGAAGCUGAAACACAAUGACAAGAAUUAACCGAAUUAACAUCUUUUCUGUUUAAAAAUAAAAAAUAAAGAGAGAGAGAACCAAAAAAAUAAAUCAGAAUCCUUGAAAUCAAAUUGAUCAAAAUCAUGGGGGAAAGAUGAGAGUAGUGAAAAUGGGAUAUAUAGAAUUUUCUUUUGUGAGAACUAGGUAUAGCAUAAUUAACGAGCAUCAACUCCAAAUUCGAAGUAGAAAUUAGAAUGAGAACUAGGUAGCUGGGAUUUUUCCGUGGUGCCAUCAACAGGUGAAACCACCACAUGAUCUAAAUCCAUCCUUGAUAAAGAAGCAAGGAAGUUAGAUCAUGCUGGCAGCUUCAACUGCUAGUGGUGCACGAUGGAUGAACAAAUUUUGGAGAGAGAGAGAAGAAGGGCGAGGAGAGAGAGAUAUAGACGUAAAUAUUUUUAGUUUUCUUUAGGAGGGUGCUAGAGAAGAGUGGCCGGAAAGGAUAUAUAUAGGGGCCAGCGGGCCAAGGCGUAGAUUGUCUUCUUCUGGGUUAUUUAAUUUAAUCUGUUGCUAUAAUAAGGAGAGCUGAAAAGCAUAUAUAGAUUUAUAUGGUAAUGAACAAGGGAGAAAACAGAUGGCAGUGGUCCAAAGCAGCAAAGACAAAAUGAAUAUUAUCAUGUCCACGCCACCUCCAUGCAGACAAGGAAGCGAGUUCUCCCGAAUCUCUCUCCUCCAUCCUUUAUCACCUUUACCUCUCUCUCUCUCUCUCUCUCCCGCCCUCAAUAUGCAAGCACAGUAGUUAAUCUAUGGGGCCCUGUUUUCAUGGCUUCUUAGAUGCAAGAGAAAGGAAAGAAAUCCCAUGACCUAGCAAGAUCAUGCGCUAUUUUUGCUAAAAAGAAAAAGGGAAAUUCACGUGCUAGCCCCUUCUUUCUUUUCCGAAGAUAGCAGUUUAUAUUUUGAUGGAUACCCUUUUAAUAUUGUUGUUCAAGAUGAAGAAUAGAAAGAUGGGCUGGUAGAGCUUCUUAACUCCUUCAAUAUCUUUCUUUCUAAAUAACAUGGCAUGCCGCCUGUCGAAAACCAGGUUCUCCUGCGUCUAAUACUUGUCAAGUACAUGUUAAAAGUUCAUUUUUAAACACACUAUUACAUCAUGGAUGAGGAAGUAUUUAGUAGUCUAAUUGGGAAGUAACAAUCCACAUCACUAAGGCAAAUUAGAUAAAUAUUUCUUUUCUUUCAAAAACUAAAAAAAUAUUAAUCAAACGUUGGAAACAUAAUAUCCUAUUUGUUUGAAAAUAUAUAAUGUUUUUACCGACCACCCUCCAAAAAUGAUUAACCACAGCUACACCUUAUUCUUUAGUUGUCCUCGCGAACUGCCUCUCCUAACAAGCGUAGAAGGAGAAUAGGCAGAUUGGAUGCGAUUCAAGGUUCAAUUGCUAGAAUUUCAUUGACUCCUGAUCAAGAAAUAAUUGGAUUCCGUUGAUUAAAGGCAAUUUCAUUUCAUACGAUAAGGGUCCAUUGUGUUUUUACACACAAUCCAAGCAGUAAUUUACCGGGACCCGUUGUUCUCUUCUAUUAUGACCAUCACAUCGUUGAAUCUUCAGCAAGCCGUGAACUCGCCCCGAGUUACAAAAUAUUUUGCUCCCUCAAAUAUACGAUUCGUCCUUUCCUUUUGAGACAAUUUUAAUGAAAGUCACUUAUUUUAUAUAAAUUGUCAGUUUCGGGAUUAAUUUAUCUGCUGCUGAUGAGAAUCACAGAGAGUCCUAUUCCAUUCUUAUUUGUUCACCACUAACACAUUUGGGCACAAGACCCUUCUCCUAUUUUAGAUAAUUGCUUAUGGCUGGUGACCACGUUGGUUCUUCAACAGGUAAAGGUAUCUUUGACUUCUUACAACCCUUCAUAAUUACAUGGUACUAAUUAAUCAAUAAUCUCAUUGAAAACGUCACAUAUAAUGAACAUCAAGAUAUCUUUCUAUUCUUUAGCCCAGAGACAAUGUAUCCAUCGACCCCUAAAUAAUUUCAAGUCCAAAAAGUUAACGUGUCACGCAGAAAACCGAGUCCACCAAUGCCCUAAAAGAAGAGCAAAUUAUUUCUCCUCCCAACCUAACAUACUUUCAAUCCAUUGAACUGGUCGGCUCUCCUUGGAUCACAUCACGGCCUGUGGUCUGUAGAAAAUUGUUAAGAAGAUGAUUAGUGAACAAGUGGCCGACAUAACAACAUAUUUAGUGUUUGGCUUGGACCUUAGAUUGGACGUUGCAUUGCGAAUACUGUUUCAGGUAGUCACAUGCUCGGUAUAUACUGAAGCGUGACCGACACUGAAGUGGUUCAUAUAUUAAACUUUUGACUUACUAAAAUUUAAUUACUUUAAUUGAUGUAGGAAGGACCUAAAUUUCAUGAAACGAAACAAAAAAUGAGAUCUCCGUCUACAUGUAAUAAUGAUCUUUGUCCACAUUUUUAUAUGAACAAAAAGUCGAUGAAUUAACCAAGUUUCUUUAGCAGGUUAUAACCAAAAAGAAGAAGAAAAACUUGGCAUAGAGAGCCAAGAACUUUGAGCUAUAUAGUUGGGGACCAAGACGAGUUCAUGAGGGAUCUCAUCACAUUCAUGCAAGUAGUAUUUUUUAUUGCAAAGAACAAAACAUGAGGAAUGGUAUUUGACUUUAUUUUCUUUUUCAUCUAUCUAUUAAGUGGAGAGUGCAAGAAAAAAGCAAAAAAAUCAAAAAACAAAAGCAAUUGGAAAAGGGAAAGGUGAGCAAACGCAUGCCGGACACACAAGCACGAAGGGAGGGAAAAGCAUACACAAAAACUAAUGGAAAAGCAUAUACUUACAGUGAUUUCUUAUACCUUCUUUCUAGAUUUGAAGGAAACGUCUGGAAUCUAUCAUGGGUCCCCAAAUAGGAAGGAGUGAGGCUGUCACAGCAUGACCUAGCUAGGGUUAGUCCUUUCUUUCUCUAACCAAAGAUAGAUCAUGCUGGCAGCUUCACUUUUUCCCUAGUGAACUUCUUUGACCAUACAAAAACAGAUCAGGUCAACUCCCUGCAAGGUUUUGUUCUUGCUAUAAUGAAAAACGAAAGCUGUGAAGUGUAUGCUACAUCUUUUUCUGAUGAGCAAGAAGAUGCUUCGUCUCGGAGCAGAUGGAUCAUCAUGGUGCAAGUACAGGAAAGUUGUUCCAAGCAUGCCCCUAUAUAGAAUGGAGAUACCGCUUCGAAACUAUGAUCAGAAGAUUGCAAAAAUUCUACUCUAUCAAGUCUUAACAGGGAGGAACAUGUUUCCAAAUUAUUUUAUUCCUAUAGAAAAAUCAAGAAGAGGGAAAAGGUUGGAUUGGAAAGUUCUUCAGUUUAUAGAUGAAAUCAGGACGCGGAACAGCAGUUUCUGGUUCCGCAAAUGAAAACAAAUAAUAAACAAAAUACCCAAAAAACACUUAGAACGGGAAAAUAAUGCGCAUCUUGUGCGUGCAAACAAGGAAAAACGUAUAGAUGAAGCAGCUGGGGUUAGGAGACAAUCACUUACGAAAACAUGGAAGAAAAUAAGAAAUGGGAGAUAAAUAUGAUGCGGUAAGUAGAAAUCAUUUUGUUAUUUCAUGGAUGGAAAGCAGAAAUCGAACUAGGAGAUCAGAGGAAGGAAAGAAACCCUAGAGUUAUCUGAAGGGAGUGUGACAUGAAUACAGAGGGAGGACCUGAAGCAGAUGCGAAGGGGUUAUAUGAAGAGGUUCGUUAUGAUGAGGGCACAGACCCUCCUCGUUGAACAUUGAAUUAAAGAAGCAGGGUGUGGACAGCUAAGAGAGAGAGAGAGAGAGAGAGGGUAGCUGGGUUAGGUGCAUUGAGUAAGAAACACAGGCCACGAUGGAGGUGGCUUAAAAGAAGAAGAGUGUAGAAAUAUAGGCCACAGGUCGUAGAGGAAGAAACUAAUAUAGGGCGGCGCAGCAGGCAGCGUUGGAGAUACAGGUUUAUGGGCUUGUGACUUUAGAUCAAAAUUAGUAAAUAUAUUAGAAUAGUAUGCAAAUAUAUUUAGUUUCUCGUAAUGGAUUAUAAUUUUAAAAUAAUUAGUAUAAAUUGGUUGUUUAUUGUUAUAAAUACAAGCUAAAUAAAAGAUUUUUAAAAAAAAACAAUUAUAAUUUAUCCAUGUUUAAAUUUAUAAACUCAAAAUAAACAUGUUUAGAUUAACUAUGUUUGAAUUAAAAUAAAAGGAGUAUUUAUUUGUUGAUGCAUUUUAAAGUAAUGAAUCUUAAUUUUAUUAUUGUUAAUGAUGAAUUAUUUAUUUUUAAGUAUUACUGCUCCUCAAUUAUGCAAAUAGGAUGCCUAGAAUAUCCCUUUCAAGAUUCCAACAACACCAUGUUAGUUUUGAUAAUGUAUUUUUAAAUCAAGAUCUCUAAACCAAAUAAUAUAAAACUCAAAUAUCUCUUAACAAUAUGAAGAUAUGCUUUAGAUUUGAGAGGAAAAUCAAAACAUAAAAUGAUAAUGAAAUAUUAAAACAUGGGGUGGAGGAAAGUGUGUAAAAAUCUGAAAAGUUUUUGGAUGAAACUCUUCAUUCAUCUUUUUUUUAUAAUAAAUUUUGGAAGUUAGAAUGUUAGAUAAUUAAUUUUCAUUAUUGACAAUCUUUAAUUAGCCGCAUUGAUCAAUAAUUAAAUCUAUAAAAAGUAAGGGUUCUUUGAGUAAGACAAUCAAGUGUCCUUUUAUUUUAAUUUCUCAUUCACCAACUUAAAAAUGACUCAAAGAUUUGUUGAGAGAUAUUAAUUUGGUAUAUUACUACAUUAUAAUAUGUAACUUUUAGUUUUGAAUCUUGCUUGGUGAAAUACUAUCAAAUUUACUCGGCUAAAUAGUGAAUGUGAUAUCCUAAACUUUUUUUUUUAUGUAAACCAAGAUAAUAGUAUUCACAUAGCUCUCUACUUGGAUAUUUAUUUUGAUUUUUACAGUGGUGUUUAUUUUGGCCUUGUAUAACUAUUUCUUUUAUAAGUGCCUUGGAGAACUUAGUAUUUGCCCAAAUUUUCAAGUGAACAAUCAUAUUUUUCACUCAUGUAGGUGAUCUUUCAUUAAAAAUAUUAUGUUAUACUCCACUUGGUGUACUAAGAUAUGAGAACCAUUUGUAACUCGGUUCACUAUUUAUCAUGUUGCAAAUAAUACUUAUUUCAUCAUAAGAAUAAGCAUGAAAUGAUAUUUUUUUCAAUGUUGUCGGAAAUGUUAUAUGACUUGGUUUUCCAUUUAAACCUAGAUCUCGAGAUAAUUAGUCAAUUAGGUAUGGUUGUCAUCAUCACACUUUUUUACAUUUUCCCUCGAUGAAUUAUACAUAAGCUCUCUUAGCGAAUCUCUGGAUAUAGAUCCCAUAUAUUUUUCCCUGGCUUUUAUAAAAGUCAAUGGAAGUAAUUCUAUUUGAGAACAAAUGUUUAAUGAUGUUGUAUCAACGACAUGUAUAUCUAGACUCGUAAUUAUACAUGCCACUUCAUGUCAUUUUCUAAUUGUUUAUUGGUUAUUGCAACCAACACAAAUAGCUGAUACUGGUUUUGGCUAAUAUAAAAUAUCCUAUGAGAAAUUUAAAAUCCAUUUGAUUUUCUCUAAUGCGUUAACAGGACUUAUAAACCUUGAUUCUAUCAUUGAUUUAGUGAUACAUAUUUGUUCAGAUGAUUUCCAUAACAUAGCUGACCUAUAAAAGUAUCGUGCAAAUAUGACUUCCACAAAGUAAAUUCUCAUAAAAGACUAAAAGGAUCACAAACAGUAUCGCUUAAAACUCAAUCUAUUAGACAUGGCUUUUUAUAUCGUAUUUAUUCAUUGCUCUGUUUUUUUUGUAUUUGUAAACAGUAAUAUACAAGUGAACAAUGUUGUCUGUAUGAACAGGUCCAACUAGAUAACUUUGAUGUUAUUCUUAAAUUUAUAAAUUUUAUGACUACAAACCUUUUCUUAACGACAAUUUUAACCUUGAACUAUUUGUGCAUAGCUUUCUAAUGUGCAGAUGCACUAUUUAUUAAAUCAUAUACUUCAUAUUGUGUAUUGUUUGAUAUACCUUAAAUGUAGUAUUUUACUCACAAAAUCACUAUGAUUCAAUAUGCCUCAAAGCUCUCAUGUUAAUUAAAUCAAAAUUAUUACUGGUCAAUUUUAAUAUUUUUUUCCUGCAAGAACUUAACAAAGUUCAAGGUGAAGACAUAAAUUAAUAUUUUAGCAAUUCUCAAAUUAUAUAAAUUAUAAAAAAAUAGCUAAUAGUAGUUAUAAAUCAAUAUCCUAGCUUAACAUUAAAGAAGUAAUAGAAAAAAUAAAACUUGCAAUGAAGCAACCUAAUAAACAAAGUUAUUUAAAUCAUGUAAAAUAAAAAAAUAAAUACCCUUGUUUAUUUUCAUCCAAGAUGAAUAUGUAUUAUGGCAAAAUAAUAAGCUUAAACAAUAACACGUAUAAACUAAACAAAACAUAAACAUGUCUUAUAAAUAGCCUAGUUAAUUAAUAUAUACAUGCAACAAUUUAAAGAGAUUCACAUAUAUUGCAUGAAUUAUAAUUUUAGAACAUAAACUGUAAUUCUAGAUAAAAGAUACACAGUAACCUUUUAAAAUAAAAUAAAAUAAAAAAAUUUAUAGAUUAUAAAUGUAAAAUCUAUAUAUAUAUAAGAAUAUAAUAAAUAAAAAAAGUUAAAUUAUAACUCCAUGAUGCUAAGAAAACAUCUAUUAACAAUAAUCUACAUAAUGUUCUACAGCAACAAAUUUCCAACCGUGAAAACAAUCACACGACUGUUUUAAAUGUAUAUACUGUAUGAAACAGUACAGCAGAGGAUCAUCAUCAUGAUCCAGACCACAACUUUCAAACAUGACUGCUCCUCCCAAGGGACAGAAGGUCACUGCACCCUGCGAUUAUUGGACUUCAAAUGUAUAAUGUGUAUCUGGUUUGUUUUUCAAUGCGUUCUGCUUGGAUUACUUGCCAUUAGCCUGCAUGCCUAACGAGUGAUCACUCCUCUGUAAUUGUGACACACCCUCCCGACUGAUCUCCCUCCAUCCCUCUCUCUCUCUACGCCUCUCUCCCUCUCUACGCCUGUGUUGUGCUGCUGUGCUCAAAUUCAGUUGUCAAUUCAUGCUUGUAGGUGGCUCAAAUGCCGAUUCCCGUCCAUCGAGAAAUUAACUCAUGCUGCUGACAACCUCUAUCCUCACUGGCUUAUGGAUAUUUAUGGCUUAGAUUCGAUUCCAGCUAAACGGUGUGUGAUCAGUGCGCAUACUAUUACCAGCCCAGCUAAAAAUUAAUGAGCACAGUCACCGGUUAAUUGAAAAUCAAGAGGCGGUUCAGAGAAAGAAGUCGAAAAAAAUAAAAGGGAGGAUAGAAUCUCAUGAAAAGGUUUAAGAAUAUCAUAAAUAAAAAGCAUAUAAAAACAUAAAACAAUGAAUUUCUACUCAAAUAUGUAAUUGUUGAAGAGAUGUGUAUUUUUUAGAAUCAUGUAAAUUAUUUAACGAGCAUACAUACAUGAUAUAAAAAAUAAAUAAAAAUCAUAAACAAAGAGCACACAAAAAUAUAAAAAAAGAAAUAAAAUUUUAAUUGCUAAGAUAUUGUGUGACGUUAUAAUAUUUUUGGCAAAUAUAUUGUCAUUUUUAAGGGAUUAUUAUUUAUUAUAUUUUAAAAAAGUGUAUAACUAUCUAAAACAUCCUUUUUUAAAAAAAAAAAACCUAAUUACUCGUGCAACAUUAUUUAUUUUUUUAACAUGAAAGUAUUUAAUUCUUAAUUAUUUCUCAUCAAUAUAAAUAUAAAUUUCUUUUUUAUACUUGCUUAAUAUAUUCAAUCACUCGUCAUAUGUAAGGGUAUAAAUUGUUUGUAAGUGUGAUAAAAUUUAUUUUUUAAAAUAUUUUUUUUAAAAAAAUAUAUUAAAAUAAUAUUUUUUUAUUUUUUAAAUUAUUUUUAAUAUAAGCAUAUUAAAAUAAUUUAAAAAUAUUAAGAAAUGUUAAUUUGAAAUAAAUAAAAAAUAAAAAUUUUAAUUUUUUUAAAAUACUUUUAUAAUAAAAAAUAAAUAUUUAAAAUAGAUAAAUAGAUUCCAGCGGGAACUUAAAAUAAAAAGAAGUACUAUAUAAAGAUAGCCCAGGGAGAAAUCAACAUUGGCUAUAGCAGCGAUCCCUACUCAGUACUUUAUAUCCAUGUUAGACAUCUACAAGUAGGUAGCUAUGCUCUUCGUAACAGAGUCUGCAAUCUAGUAGAGUAGACUCGUAGGUAGGCCUGUUUGGUGCUGUACAAUCCAAGUUCUUAAAUAUCUAGCCCUCAGCCGAAAAAAUAUUAAAUACUGCAAUUUCUUUUCACUAGUUUUUUUUUUUAAAUUGUAUUAUUAAUUUAUUUUUUUUAUAAAAUUAUUCUAUUAUAUUUUUGCCGAAUUCAUGUUGAGGUUAGUAAUUUUCUUUAAUUGAUUUUUCUGUAAAUUUUAUUAAUUAAGAAUUCUUUAAAUUAAUUAUUAAAAUAGUUAUGUAUUAAAUAUAUUUGGUUCUUUUAAAAGAUUUUUUACCAUUAAAAUACAUAUAAAUAAAAAAACUAUAUUUAUGAUGUACAAAAAAUUAUAUUACCAAUUUUUUUUUAGAUAGUAUCUUUUAUUGAAGAUGCUUUAAUAAAAAUAUUUUUUAAUUUAAAAUAUAUUAAAAUAAUUUUUUUAUUUAUUAUAUCAUAUUAAAAUUAUUUAAAAAUACUAAUUUAAAAUAAGAAACAGUUAUAAUGAAAAACAUAACACUCAUUUAGAUUUAUAUUAUGUUUAAGUGGUAGUGUUUUAAAAUAUUUUUUAUUUAAAAAUAUAUUAAAAUAAUUUUUUUUAUUUUUUAAAAAUAAUUUUUUAAUUUAAAAACAUAAUUUUUUUACAUAAAAACAAAAAAUAAUUUUUUAAAUUUUUUUUAAAAAAUAGAGUUUACACCAGCCAAACUCACCAUUAGUUAUGGCAACCGAGUGACGAACUCUGUCUUGGCACGCUCCAACUUCAGAAUUACACCAUUUUAUUUUUUCUCAGGGUUAUCUGUACAAGAGCUCUUCUUAUUUGUAACAGAGUACCAAAGUAAGCCCCCGUUAACAAGUUAAUUAAAUCCAACGAAGUAGAAAUUGCAUCAUAAAUAGUUUACUGUUUUUUUUUUUUAAUUUAGAAACCGAAAAUGCACGGUAAUUUUCAGAUUCAUAAUAAUCCCAUAUAACAUAGAAGGAACUGAAAUAUAUGCACAGUCAAUAGACCAAUACGAGCUUAAAUCAAAAGCAAUCUAGCACAGCGGAGUGGGUUUUCAAUUCUGAGACUUGAGACCAAGCAGAAACCAGAGAGGUCAAAUAUCCAAGGGGGAGACCAUCCAACAAAGUGUAGAAAACAGGGGGCCUUGAAGCACAUCAGAAUGAUUUUUUUGGUCCCUUGAAGCCCACAUGUUAACAGACUAGACUGAGUGGAUGAGACUAUGGUAGCUAAUGGUCUCGAGUUCUCGUGGAUACAACAAAUUUUCUUGAAAGAGGUUCCUUUCUUGAUGGCCGAUAGAACCUCGAAGAAUUAAUUAAGAAUUAACCAUCGGCAAUAGCCUGGGAAUAACUUGAAGAAAGAAAAAAAACAUUAGAAUCAUUUUAUAACCCUUGGAUAGGGGUCACUUCAAGGGACUAAAUCCAGAUGAGCUCUAGCUGAGUGACACUCUACCUCAAAUUUUGCCUUUGGGAGUAAAAUUAAAUCUGACUGCUGCUUAGAACACUGUAAAGUUGGGGACUUGAACAGCAGCUCUGGAUUCUGAUAUGUGAUUGGAAGAAAAGCUCAUUGCAUUUGAGAGUAGCAGUAAACAGCCUGAUCAACCCCAAGGCCUUUUCUGAUUGAAAUCUCAGAUGUCUAUAAAUUUCAAUUCACAAAAACAUCCAGAAAAAAGAAAUUGCUCCCAAAAGAAACUUGUGUCGGCAACCCACCCCCUCCCCCUAUAUUUUUUGUAACGGAAUUGGAAGACUAGCUCAAUCACCAAAUAAAAUAUUAGAUUUUAGUCGACCUUACAUGGGAACAUCUGGAUUCAAUAAGAGUCUUUAUUGAUGAUUAACGAUGUCAGCAGAAAGAUAUGGACAUGUGCUAAACAGCUUCACAACUUCACAAAUUCUGUCCUUCAGUUCCUCCUAUUGGAAUAUGCACGCAUUCACUCCUGAAGCACAUGCCUUGAUAACCUGAACCUGGAAUGUCAAAAGGCAUGAUCACAAUUUUUAUAUUAUCGCUUGAAUCCAUCUAAUAUGAAUCGUGAUCAGCAUGUUUGACAAAAUAGCGAGAAACUUACAUGAGACGGAAGAAUUUUGAAAGUGUUUAAAUGUACCCCAUUACCACCUUUUUCUCAGCAUAAUAAUUUGUGAGUACCUCAUUUUUGCCCAAUACAAGUCUUGCAUAAGAAGUGCAGCACAGAGGCAACUUCAGGGAUAGACCACAGGAGUCUUUCUGAAUAAUGCUGCUUCAAAUGUCCUGCCUAUCAGGACCUAAAUCCCAUCUUAACUCCUUGUUGGAACAUGGCAAGGUAGUAAACUUAACAGCAGCGUAAUAGGUGAGGUAGUAAACAAUAGCUUACCAUUGGUGAAUUAAUGUGAAUCCAAAAGAAUCCUGUGCGAGCCAAAUUUUCAGGUACAUAUUUACAUAGUCACCAGAAUUCACCACAAGAGCAGAUCCCGUCUUCAAAAUGAUGAAAUCGGCUGGCAUCCCUCACAAUUAGUUCUCUUCCAAAGAAUUUUGAAACUAGCUCGCAGAAAGUAUGGCAAUCACCACAAACUCGAAGGUUCUUUGCAAUUCUAACAGGGGUCCCCCCAGGAGUGCUCAACAAACCAUAUGUAAUCGCCAGCCUUUCACUAUGCCCAUAGAGCAUCUGAACUUUCUCUUCUUCCCCUACAUUGUGCAAAACAAAUUAACUUGGUCUGAGGCACAUGCCCCCCUUCCAUCUCUAACUUCUCCGUAAUUUGAGCUAACUUCUGAUAAAUAUUAUAAGAUUGCGGGUGAGAGUUGUCUCUGGCUAGAAAUGUAUGAAUCUUGUUCCCAACCUCAAUCCAACUGCAUCAAGGGUUUUUCUUCAACCCACUCCCCUUCAUUCUCAUUCUUAUUCCUUCCGCAUCUUUCCAUCUUCCACUGGAAGCAAAGAGAUUGGAUAUCAGCACGAAAGUUCCUGGACUAUCAGGGUCCAACUCUAAGAGCUUCUGGGCGGCAAUUUGUCCAAGUUUUUUAUUUGAGUGAACCUGACAAACCCCGAGGAGUGCACACCAAACUUCAGCAGUCGGUUCAAUCUGCAUGUUUUUCACAAAAUGGCACGCAUUUGCACGGCCAAGAAGAUCGACCAGACAUGCACAAUGUUCUGGCCAGGGCUCCAGAUGAUAUUUACAUUUCAUAGUUUCAACUUUCAAGUAAUCUUUUGCCUUCAUCGAUUGAUCCUGAAUGACUGCAUGCAUGAAGAAGUGCCAAGAAGGUAAUAUGAUCAGGAAUAAGUUUUUGGUCCUUCAUUUUACUGAAUAACUCAACAGCUGCCUUGCCACGUCCAUGCAUUCCAUAUGCACUGAUCAUAGUUGUCCAUAGAGCUAAACUUUUACUUCUGAUACAGAUAAAAUUUGAUCAUCUUCAACUUCAAGACUAUUCUGUCCAGAUUUUCCAGUAAGGUUAAAAUAAAUUUCUUAACUCAUAAAAAUUAAUUUAAACAAAUCAACUUAUAAAUUCUUAUUUCUAACAAAAUACUAAUUAAUUAUCUAACAUUAAAACCUUAAUAAUCAUAAAUCAAUCUUAACAACAUAAACUUCUAAUCCUUAUAAACUCUAAUCUCUCUUUAUUUUUUUAAUCCUUUCAUAAACAAAUCCUAAUUAAAAGUAAUAUGAAAGAAAAUCACUUAUUUGCUACUUUCAUCUUUUUUAAACCCAAAAACUUUUUAAUCAAAAAUUGAAAUUCUUAGUUUGAUGAGGGGAGGGUCAUGACAGCCACAAGAAUUAGAAGAGAGAAAAAUAAUUCUCUAGUAACUUUUUUUUAUAUACCUAGGUUAAUUUAGGUUGGGUUUGGACUAACUUGAACUUGAAUUUGAACUAAAAGUUUGGGAAUUACACCUUCUGUAUAUAUGAAACCAUGAAUCUCUUUUCCUUUAGUCAAGGCAGAUAAGCUAGCAGCAGCAGAGAGGAUGCUCACUAGAGAUAUCGAGUCAGGUUCAACACCUAUUUCUUUCAUCAAGAGCUUCAUUUGCAUUUCCAUUAUGUACAUAGCACGAUAUCAUGCUCGUCCAAGACACUAAAUCUUUACAUUUUUUCGACCCAAACAUUCUAGUCGCAUAAUUAAUAUUCCCACACUUCCAUACACAUCAACUAUCAUAUUCUGCAGCAUAAGACCAGAUAAACAUUGCUUCAAAGCAUAGCCAUGAACUUCUUUUGCAUGGGACAAGCACUUCAAUCCACUGCAAGCCAGCAAGGUGCUUCCUAUCAUCAUUGCAUCUACUUCCAUCCCUUCCACCUGCGCUUCCCUCAACAAUUUUCAAGCCUCAAUAUGACAAUUAUUUUGAGCACAGCCAGCUAUAACCGUUGUCCAGGAAAUGAGAUCUUUAUUGAGCAUCUUAUGAUUAGCAUCCUGCAAACCACAGAAGAAUCGCAAAGCUUCAUUAUAUAAACCAUUUUGAAUGUAACCUGCGAGCAUGGAAUUCCAACUGAUGUAAUCCUUCUCGUCCAACUUAUCAAAAAUUCUAGCAGCAUCACUCAUUUUACCAAAUUAAAUCUCACAUGCAUAGCCACCAAGGCAGUAACUGGACUUGAUUUUAAAAUAGCAGCAUGAAUCUCCAUGCCCGGUUUCUUGAAGGAAGAAUUCUCACAAGCUUGAAGAGCAGCAACAAAAGUAUAAGUAUUCACACCAACACCAGCCUUCUGCAUGUCGCUAAACAAUUUCAAUGCCUCCAUACACUGCCUAUCUAUAGAAUAAGCAGAAAUUAUAGAAUUCCAUGACACAACAUCGUUUCUUUCAUUCAUUCUAUCGAACAGUGUCCUCUCUCCGAUUAUGUCACGGCACUUGGCAUACAUGGCAACAAGAGAAUUAGCAGCAUACAUAAUGGAAUCAUAUCCACAUUUAAUUACCAGACCAUGAAUUUCAGCCCCACAGUGGAUAUCCUCAACCACAUUACCGAACGCUUUAAGUACACAAGGAAAAGUAAAAGAAUCAAAGAGAAUACGCAAAACCUUCAUUCGCCUGUACAAAUCAAGCGCUCUUAAAGAUUCUCCAUUCGAAACAUAAGCACCCAUCAUAGCAUUCCAUGUAAAAAUAAUUCUGUCGUGCAUUUGAUCUAACACUCUCCCCGCGUCCAAGAUAGACCCACACUUACAGUACAUAAAAACAAGUUUAGUGCUCAAAAACACAGAAUCAAGUACUAAAUUGGAUUUUAUCAAAUGGGCAUGAAUUUGUUGGCCUUGUAUAAAAACUUUCUUGGUUGCGCAAAGCUCAAGAAUUGGUGCAUAAACCUCCUCUGGGUUAACCAGAAGGUAGCUGCCAUCGUCAGAGGAAAGAGCAGUAAGUGAAGCAAAAGCUUCUUUGAGGUUUCCUUGUUUGCAUGUCUCUUUGAGAGGGGAACUUUUGAUGGAGUCUUAGAGAAUUUGGGAGCGCGAUGAGUUUUGUUUGGUGUUUGGAGCUGUGCAGAUGUUGUAGGGAUGUAGUAGUAACAGUGUGGAAUCGUCGUAGCCAUUGCAUGUGAUACGAUAAUGAUUUAGGGUGAUUUCGGUGUGGUAUUUUUUGAGGUUGAAAGCCAACCCAACUCUACAUCAGCCCACAACCCAUUAUUUAUUUCCCAGCGUCAGCAUGAGAAUUGAAGGAGGUAUGGAGGAUAUAGGAAUAUAAGGCAUAAGCCCAUGAACAAGGGAGACCACCUUUCAUUUUUAAGAAUUUGUUUUUGUUUCAUUUCUUAUUUAAUUUAAUUGCUGCCUUUUCCUCCUAAUUUUCAUUUAUGGCCGUCUUGUGAUAUUUUCUUGUCCCAUACCGUUUCAGCAAAAGAGCUCCUGCCCCGCGCUAAUAUGACAGCUGAAAAAACCCGAUCAAAUCGACUCGACAAACCAGAGAAAAAACUCAUCACAACAGCAUAUUCCCUGUUACCCAUCCUAUCUGAGAAUAGGCAUGCUGCAUUUGAUGGCAGUCUAACAUUGGUUUCAAUGAAAACAAACUAACGCAAUGCAGGAGAUAUCUCACAGCCUAGACCAGGGAUUGGCUCCUCCAUUCUUUUCCUUGAUAAAUGAUAUCCAUUCAUUAAAAAAAAAAAAAAAAAACACACUCGGGUUGCUACAAUUACAAGGACAAGAACCAGGUUUCAAUUCACAGAAACCUAUUUUGUUUAAAAUCAACAAGCUUUGCGCACUGCAUUUCAAUAGCCAAGAAACAUCACCCAUAUACGAGCUAGCAUCGCUUCUCAACAAGAAAGGGGCAGUGAAGCCCCGUUGCACGGCACUAUGCAAAAAAAUUAAGCCGGAGAAUACAAAAGCCCAAUCAACUUGGAUCGAGUUCCAGUCCUGGCCAGAUGGUUUCACAACUCUCCAUUACUGGCACGGUUUUCUUCUAUACAACUUCAUUACACACUGUCGGCAAUUCCAUUUAUGUACACUAAAAAAUGUUUUCGCCUCGUAACCAGGGUACAACAAGAAGCAAGGGUCCACUUUCCCUUCUCAAUCGGAAGCCUGGCACGGCAUUCUUCAUGCUUGCCAGGAAUUAAACAUUUAUCAGACAUCUAUAUCUUUCCUUUUGGUGUCCUGUUUCAAUCCCAGGCCAGCCCUGCCGCCUUCUUCUUCUUCAAUGUAUUAUGAACACAGAAUCCCCCUUUUCCUUUGCUGAGGAUGGCACACAAAACCCACGUAGGAUUUCGAUAAAUAAUAAAUAGCUGCCACGAGCUGAAACAAUCACGCUUAAAUCAGUAUUUCCCCUCCUCACCCCUGAUUAGAUGAAGCCAUCAAGCUCUGAUCUGGCAGUGUCCAGGAAAGCAAAUGCCCGCCAGAAUCCCCACUAAGUAACUGCUUCAGGUCGCUUGUGAGAUGAAGGGAAGUAACCGGAUGUUUAUGAAACUUCAGUACUUUGUGGAGAAGUAACCUGUACUCUGGUACCUUAUCACCUAGAUUUAGCCCACCGGUUGAACUGCUGAUAAAUUUACUCAAGGCACUCACUUGGUUGGAGCAGUGAACCAUUUGCCACACCUUAACUGCCCCACUCUGGUGACCUGUCACAUACCAGUUUGUGUCCAGCCAAUCGGAAAAUGUACAACUCGUCACUGAGAGAAUAGAAUCAGAAGGAAGUUGGGAUGUGUUGAUCACAGCAAGGCAAUCCCCAUUGAUGCUCCAGACAGCAAGCAGAAUUCCAGCUGCUGUCAUGAUCUCACCAGUCAAGUCAUUCACAUAAAUUGCUGAAAUUGGCACAGGAAACUCUGGUAGCUGCCUAACAAAAACCAAGGAGCUGAGGUCCCAUACAAUAACCGUGCAGUCAUCAGAGCCACUUAAAAUCAGCAUGUAAGGCUGGCUAACAUGAAGGCAUGUGAUUUUGGCCGUGUGUCCACAAAGUGCAUUCUCCAACUGCAGAUUUUGCAGAACGCGUGGACCAUCCUUGCUGAUUCUCCAAACGCAGAGUAACCCAUCAUCGGCUCCUGUAACCAAGAUUUGACCAUCAUGACUAGCACUAGCACACUGAAUCUGGCUGCUGCCCCCAUGAAGAUUCUCAUGUGUUGAGAGCAGUCUAUCUUGAUCAUAGCUCAUAAAUCUCAAGCUACGAUCUGGGAAACCCCAUGCAACAUAUUUGUUAUAUGUUGUCGGUUUGAGCAAACUGUUUGUGCCUGCCACAAGUAUUUUCUCGUGAACAGUCACAAUCUGGGUAAUGGCAGAUGAGCUCUUGCGUAUUUCAUAUGGAACAAGGUGGGAGGAAUACUUGAGUGGAUGUGGAAUCCUUCUAUCAGAACGUCUUUUCACAUGGGGCUUGAGGAAUAGCUGCUUGGGUGUCUGCCCAAAGUGAUUGAUUUGUGCUAGAAUGGAGGCUUUCAUUGCAGGAUCUGUAACCGAGUCUAUGUCUACGCUCCCCUCAUAAGUGUAAUGAUAGAAAACAUUCACAGCUUCUUCAGCUGCCUGUCAAUUAUGCAAGGAAAAUAUUAGAUCAUAAACAGGACGAGGCGGAGACUGAUCCAAUCACCCAAAGAAAAGAGUUGAAAAAAAUAUGGGCCAAUGAUGAGUUAAAUCAUCAAAAUGGAUGGCACAUCCUGGUGUAAAAGUUGCACUUCCAAAGUAGUUUUAGCAGUGGAGUGAUAUAUAUUAUUUUUUUGGGGUUGGGGGGGUAGCUAACCAUGCAAACACAGAACAAUUGCGCUGGAAGAAGCAUGAUCUUCGUCAAACAAAACAGUGAAAGCCAUCAACAGUAAAUAGACAUCUAAUAAAAGUAAUCAAUUUAAAUAUCAUGUAAACAUUGGACUGAGGUUUAUUCUGCUGAUCUGUCACCACCACUGAUUUGCUACUGGACUUUCAGGGGUUACAUUUCAGAAAGGUAAAACAGAAUGAACAGCUCAUUCGGAAGUACACGGUAGAAAAAAAUCUAUAUUUUUUACAGUUGUUUUUCAUGGAUCUGGAUGUGAUUGACCUGCAAAAAGACAACAUAGUUUUCUGACAUAAAGAAUGUUGAACGUACCUUCCCUCUCUGUUUAUAUCCAAAAAUGAGAUCUAUCCAAUGAUGAAGAUUUUCUGAAACAAAAUCAGAUUCCAGCGCUUCUCUGUGCUUCCUAAUGAACUCUCUAGCACUGCCUUUCGCCCAAGGGGGUAAGACAACAUCACCGACCUGACAAUAAAAAAAAAAAACCAUGCAUGCUUGCAAUUUUUAAUGGCUGGAAAAGGAAUAUAAUUUUUUUUUUUUGGAUCACAAGUUCUUUCCCAGCAAAUAAUCAAACAAAUAGAUUAGGCAAAAGUAAAUAAAUUUGCACUAUUAGAAACAAACCUUCUCUCCUGAUUGUUUCUCUCCCAAAUCAAGAUUGAACCUGUUCUCCAGAAAUUCUGGUAUGUAGAAGAAUUCUGGAAUCAAUUCCUUGACAUCAGACGUGUUUCCUUUACCUGCUGCACUUAACCAAGUAUCUCGAAUACCGUUGAAAAGACGAUCAGCAUGAUCGAAUUGACCACCCUGCAGCUUCUGAUUCUCUACACUGAAUGGUGGAAGGCGUAGAAGGUAGAAGAGAACAAUUCCAGCACUAGAAUAGUGAGAGCCAUAAUGAAAUUUUGGAACCUCUGGAUCAUCCCAGGUCUCGUAUCUGAAUAGAAAACCAAAAAGGUAAAUGACAGAAUAAAUGGAAAGCAGUGAAAAUAAUCAGUACUAUACACAUGAGGACUAACCUUUUCCUAAAUUCCUCUUCUCCCUCUUGUGUCUGACAACCCAUUGGUUUCUCGAGCUUACGAAAUGAUUUAGGAUUGGACAAAUCCAGAUUUUCACUCUCAUAAUCAGAGAGAACCCAUGGAAACACUGGAUAUUGGGUCAGAUCACUGUAUCCUCUACCAGCCAAGGUGUUGAGAUGCAUGAGAUAUUGGAAAUUACUAAUUUCUCCAUUUUGCCACCUUUUAGAGAAGGAUUUAGCCAUUAUCUUAAAUAAGCGGCUGCCCUCAUUACUUUCUUGUUUUACUGAUCCAGAAAUUGUAGUGUCCAACCUGAAUCGAGAGAGAAAAUUGUGGAUUAAGCAAUAUUCAGUUCAAAUAUUCUGAGAAAGAAGCAUCCAGGAAGGUCCAUAGCAUCAGUACGUGAGCAACAUAAAUAUAAUUGUGUCAUCUUAUUAUCAUUCUAAGAUACCUGUAUUAGCAUAUCCAUGAAAUUACAAACGGAUGGAAAGAGGAAUUAGGGAAGAGAGAAGGGGAAAGGGGGAGAUAAAUAGAGAAGAGUAGCAAUAGAUAGGAAAACAAUAACCUCAAAUAUCAAUGUGAUUCCUCAGAGAUUCAACUUUCAAAUAGGAAAUAUAAUAAAGUCCAAAACAAAACAAAACAAAACUCAUAUUCAUAAUUGAUGCUAAAAAACAUAAUGAACCAUAAAAACUUGAUUUGCGAAACAAGAAGCAAUAUAAACUUAAAUAAUAUUUCUUCUUUUCAGAAGAUGAAAGAUUUUUAAAAUCUUCCUUUCAGUCACUACCAAAUUGCAUGCAUAAACUACAUUAGCAGUAGACAUCAGAUAAAAAUCUAUUUUCAGAGCUGCUUACUUCAGCCUCAGAGGAUGGAAUGAAGGGAGGGGAGUGGUGAACCACAACAUCACACAGAAAUCAUAUCUUGAGAAUAUGUUGAUCUAUCUAGAUGUAUUUCCCAAGUGUAGAAGGGAUCUUAAGUAACAUUUGAAAAUGGAAUGCAGAAACACUUCGGGAUAUUUUCCAAUGCCACAGAGAAUCGGUAGUGCAGUUGAUGAAGCAGUUUCACCACUCUAAAGCAGCUGUAUUCAUUUAAUAAAGACCUUUUUUCUUUUGUGCAAUGCAGCUCAUCUUUAAUUACACAGAGAUUCAGUCAGAGUUGUCAAGCAACCUGAAAAAAAGUGCUGCAUCUAACUCUUUACUUAGGGGUUUGGUUUUUUUUAAUCCAUCCAUCCAUCCAUUAUUGUUAUUAUUAUUAUUUUGGCUGGCAAGGGCCAUGCAAACAUAAAUCCUUGAUAAAACUGUUCAACCUGCAUUCCAUUGUGAUGACACCUACCAACAUGAAACCUACGGACAUGUGCUAGAAACAACAACAAUCAAAUGAUGAAGAAAAAAUCCAUGGUAUCAAUCACUGAAAACUCAAUUUGCUGGAUAAAUAAACAAUACCUUGACUUGGAUUUCUAACAAGGGUGCUAUAUAUAAGUAUUCAAGCUAUUACAAAGUAGAAAAACCAGAAGCAAGCAAAACAGAAAAACCACCUAACUAGGAAGUAGAACUAAAUCUUUACUAAUCUAAUACAACUACUACAUAGAAAAUAUUAAAAUUCCUAAAAACUAGAAAAAAAAUCAUGAAUGAUAAAAAAAAUUCAAAUAUCAAUCCUAUCAAGACUGGCAUUGUGACAUCAAAUGUUAAAAGCUUGCUCUCUAACCUUUUUCUGUUCAUGUGCACCAAGACAUGAAGGAUCAUGCUCAACCCUUACAAGAUAAACAAGAAUUAUUUUCCAACUCCUAAACACUUGAAAAAUCUAAUAUAACAACAUACAUUCAGCAUAAAAUAAUCGAUACACAGCUACAGCAUAACAUUCACAUACAACACGUGAAGCAUAAAAAUUUAUACUUGGUCAAAAAAUAAUUGGCAGAUGCAAUUACUAGUUAAUGGCAAGUAUGCACAACCACAAAACAAUCAUGAAAGAAAAAUUCAAAAGCAAUGAGUAGUAGAAUUCAUACAUGCUAUUCCUUGGAAGGUUCAUGGCAACCAGAUUUUUGAACACUUCUUCUCUCUCCUUUUUGUGGAACACAAGUAGAUCGUUGCAUCCAUCCAUGCUGAAUAUCUCAACAGCAACAGGUCGGAGCUGGUAAUCACGUUUCAGAAUCUCAUGAACACUGUUGAGCUUCCACAUAUGCCAGGGAUGGGGUAAAUUACCACUAGUACACACUUUCUCCUUGCCCCAUGCACCACCAUUGUAGGCCCAUGCCCUUCCACCAAUACAUGCCUUUGCUGUUGUGCUCCAGGACGAAGUUGACUUGGACUGGAAAUCAGCACUGCCUGUAACAUCCUUCUUUACACCCAAAGCCUGAUCAAUAACAGAGAGUUCAUCCUCACAUUCUUUUUCACAAAUACACUCAGAAUCGUCGAUGUAAAAGUUCUCGAUUAUGUAUAACGAAAGUUCCCCUAUCAAAAAUAUACCAUCAUGCUUGUCCAAACCCACAACUCGCUCACAGUUAUAUUUCAAUCGUAUCUUUUCGUGAGGUUCCAAAUAUGGUCGGAUCAAAUAUUCACCAUUAUCAUUUAGUCCUUUAUCUGAUUUAUCUUCCAUGAUUAUGAUUUCAUCUGCUUUAUUUGACAAUGAUUGCAUUGGAGUUCCAACGUCAGAUUUUUCUUGUAUGCUCUCUGACAUUGGGACAGAAACAGCACUAGACUUGACACCAAACUCAAGUGCUGAGUAAAGACUUGCUUCAUUCAUGCUACUAGCUCGAUCAUCAUUCCAUCCAUUUCUAGCAGAAUCUUCCCCUUUCACAUCAUCUGAUUCUUUAAAAAAUUCACCAUACAUCUCACCACCCAUGCCAUUUUGUUUGGCACCAUCAGUUAAAAGAUGAAAAAAUGAUUCAGUGCAAGUAUCAGAAGCAUCACCACCACCCUCGUACUUUCCUUUGGACAGAUCUGCUUCUCCCAACUCAAACUGUCCAUCAAGAACAUUUUGGAUGGUGUCAACCCUCAAUUUGCAGCGCUCAAGCUUUUUGCGCAUCCUGUAUGGACCUUCAAUGGGACAAAGCUGCCAUUCAGGAUCUUCAGUUGCAGAGGAUUUCUGCAGUGGGAUUAUUCCACGCUCAUGUACAAGUUGUUGAAGAAGGGUUUGCCACUCACUUUCAGCAUGGAGGACCCAUCCAUACUUAUCUUGGCGGACAACUCGUAACUCAGUAGACAUUGCAUCACGAAGCAUUUCCAAAGCAUAUCUUCGUUCAUUUACCUGUUCCCAAUGUUUUUGGUCUGACUUCAAAAUAUCACGUGAUCUUCUCCCCAUUUCCCUCCUACGACGACCCUCCAUACCUUUAAUUCUCACUCCUGGAAAUUUUGCUGAUCCAGCAAUACACUGAACCCACAUAAUGGCUGCACACUGCUCCAAUACUUUGUUGACCAUCAGCUCAGAACUCCGUAGCCACUCAAAGAAAUUAGAUAAACUUCCAGUCAAUAAUUUGUCAAAACCACCAUGCAGUGCAUCCAUGUGCUGCCCUUGAUUUGGUUUAGAGACAAGCAAGUCUUCUAGUGCAGCCCUGCGAAGCACCAGCAGAUACUUGACAAUAUCUACUGCCAUGUUCUGAACAUUUCGCCUUUGGUCACGGAGAAGAGAUACUAGAUUUACACAAAGACAGCAAUUCAAAUCAGUAUCAACAUUGCUGGGACAGAGAAUAACGCGCUUGUGAGCAACUAGCAACUGUAAAACCGUGCAGAUAUCAAUUCCUGAAUCUUCUUGUGAAGAAUUGGAGGAUAAUUUUUUCUUGGGCUCAAUAAGUGAACCUAGGCAUGAAAGAAGACCAUCCUCUCCAAUGGUGGCCAAAAAUGAUGGAAAAAAACAAUACAUUAUCAUUCGAUUUGUGUUCCUAAGUAGUGAAUUUAUAUAAGUAUCAAGUUGCCUGCUUCCUCUUGUAAUAGAUAACAGACUCUUUCCUGCAGGAGCUGCUUCUUCAAUGCGACCAUCUUUGUUUGCCAACUGUAACAAUGACAACAAGAACUCUAGAGUUUUCAACACACCAGCAGGUUGAGGAAAGGCACCCAUAUAGACACGGUCUACUAUCAUCCAGCUUAAUGAUUCCAAGUUCGAGGUCCAUCGAAUUUUGUCUAGCUUUUUCUCAUCUUCCUCAUCAUCACGCAAAAGACGCCUUUCCACAAAGUUCAUCAGUCUGCUAAGGCACAAACCCUGGAAAACUAAAACUGAUUCAGCAUCAACAUAUAAAGGUACUGUUUCCAAGAUGCCCUCUAUAACCUGUGCUGCUUUAAUCUGCUCAGUGAUAAAAUCAGAAAGAAUUUCUCCAAUGAAAUCUAACAUGGCAGUCGCUCCUGCAGAACAAGGGCCCCCCCCAUAGCCAGAAUCAUCUAUUUCAAGGAGAAUCUUUGAGCUAAUUGCCAAAAAUGAGUUUGCAGAAGAUGGCCCUUGGGAACUUGACUUCAAGCCUGCAGAUGGAUCGAAUUCACUAACAGACAUAGAAGACUCCAUGGAAGGAGUGGCUUGUAAAGAAGCUUUGUGUUCAUUGGGGGACGCAUUGCCAAGCCAAGAUGACAAUGGAACAGCCGGAGAUGAAGAUGGUGUGAGGGGAAUUCUUGAACUUGACUUCUCAGAUAUAAUAGGAGAAUCUGGUAUAUUAAGAGAAGCUGAACUCUGGGAUUCUGCCUGUCGAAAGGAAUGCAUAUUGCCAUCAACAUUAUGGAUAUUGAAUUCAUUUGAGCUAGAGGUGGCAGAAACCAGGUCAACAUUAUCCCCAUCCAAGUUCUGGAAAGGUGGGACACCUUUGGCUGAUUUUUUCAAUUCCUCAUGCGAAUUAGAGAUGCCAAUCUCUGUUUUAACAUCAGCCAAAUCAUUUAGGGACAUGGGCAUAUCUUCAGAACUUGUACUUGCAUGCCCCUGAGGGAAGCUUCCAAUGCUAAUGGAGGUCUUUGCAGAUUUUUCUUGUUCAAGAGGUAAGCUAGAGAACGUAUUUUGAGAACUGCUGGUAUCAUCACAAUCAUUCAAGUCCUUUUCUUCUGCCUUAUCAGAAAGCUCUUUCACCAUCAUCACUGCAUAAGCAGCCCUGCAAGAAAAACAAGGCUCAUCCAAUCACAGUACUGCUAGAGUAAUUAAAAUUGGAAAUAAGUAGUUCCAAAAAUGUCAACGUGGCAUCCAGAAAAGAGGAUACAGAUUGCAGGGUGUCUGAAAACAAACCUAAUGCAAGAAAAAUAAAGGUCGAUGCAGCUUUCAAGAAAUUCAGGCCUUCUGCAAACAGCUGAAAAGGGAGGACACAUCUUUGCAAGAUCAACCAUAAAUCUCAGGACUGCAGUUGCAGCAGCAGGAGCUGAUGCCUCACCUCCCAUUAAGCGUGCUGCAUAUGUCUUAUGCAUCAAAGCUUCACCUUGAAGCUCUCCUGUCAUGUCUGCAUUUCCUUCCACAAGCUCUGCAACAAGGCUAGCACCAACCUGGGAAAGAUUGCCAGUUUGAUGAGCAAGCAUUGACUGCCUGCUUAACCUAUCAAAUGUAGAUUUUGCCAUCGCAACCACUGAUUCCAACAGUUCCACGUACUUCAACUCCACAUAGCUUCCAUCACUUGGAAUAAGGGCAUGAAAAUCUAGCAUGCGCACUUCUGGUAGUCUGGGGUACACAGGCUUUCCAAAUACCAGACAAAACAAAAUAUAAUAUAUAUCAGGAGAAUCAUAAAAACUAGGAAGCACCCGCAUUAGACCCUGAUAACCACCACUUGUGCGAAAUUUAAGAGCAAAUGUGGGAGAAGAAGCAAGUGAAACACCAAGAAGGGUCAUGAUCCACCUCAUGCUUGUAGGAUGGACAGCUUCAUCAAGAAAAUACGUUACCAGUUUUGAUGACACAAUCUUAUGCCACUGCUCAAGUAACUCGUCUGAUUUGAUAGUUACUUGUAGAUCAAUAAGCAUCUCUAGGAGCAUAUUCCUUACAAUUACAUGCUUACCCAUAGACUCUCGCACUAUUUGAUGCCUUAGUUUCAGUUCAGGUGGAUCAAAAGUCAUAAUCACAAACCUUACCACAUUCUCUAGUUCAGAAGCCAGAAAUCCAUCUUCCAAAAUGACCCCAAGCAACACCACUAAUUUCUCCAAUACAGGAACUUCAACAUCACCACGCUGCAACGUGACUAGCAAAUGCUGAACAAGGUUUAUUCGACGCAGAACCGUAAGGUUGUGACUCCUGUACCAAUGCAUGGACACCAAAUGCUCCAGAAAUCCUAGAAGUGCAAUUUGAAUUGAAACUGGGGCAGUCACCCACAAAGUCCAGUCCAACAAGACAUGCUCAACCAUAUCUGCAUUUGACAAGACAAUACAAUUUGAAGUUUCAACUAGCACAUCAGAAUUCUCUAGCUCAGAAAUAUGGCUAAAUGAAUCUUUUGGCACAGAAAAAUCAUCCAUGUCCCCAUGAGAUCCAACUGAAGAAAUCUCAUCACGAAAUUUUGACAAGCUGAGCACCUCAAAGCUAGUUUCCUGCAUAAAGGUGGCUGGUAAUAAAGUAGCUUGCCUGCGUUCCAACUUCUUUGGUUCAGAAAAUGAAGCCUCACAAGCAGCAAUUUGAAAAAAAAUCUCAAGUGAUUGCAUGUCAAAUAAUGACAUUCUACGACGCAGAAACAGAGCAAGCAAAUGGUAUCCCCUAUAUUUUUUCAUAUCUUUCACAUUCUGGGGAUUCUGAUGAAGUGCACAGGCAAGCAACGUCAAAGCCAUGUGAAGCAUAUCCCUGGUUUCAGCAGCUUCGACAAGGGCCAGGACAACAGCCAUACCACCUACAGGACGGAUUGCAUCACCAAUUACAGAUUGCCUACAAACAUAGAUGUCUCCGUGAAGGCGUCCAAAUCGCGGGAUACCUGAAGCAAAAAUAAAAGGAAUGACCAAGGGGGGAAGGAGGGAGCGCAGGAGCUAAUAUGGAACAGCCCCCAACUCUACAUAAAUUGCUUGAAACAUAAAAUCCAGAUUUUAUUCACUCACCCCCGAUAGGAGAGGCAGCAGCCGACAUAGGAUCAACCAGAUUGAGCAAGGAGAAUACUCCAGAUGCUAGAACGGAUUCAGUACAUGUUCCAUCAAAUGCAAAUAUAAGUUUCUUUCCAGAAAGCUGCAAUGAGAGGUUUCCUAAUCUCUCCAAAUCCCAAACAAUCCCACUACCAUCUGCUUUAGAAUCCCCCUGCUUGUUAGUACUUUCGAGCUUCGGUGUAGCCAAUGGCAAGUCAGCAUCUAAUGAAUCCAAGAUGGCCAUACUACCACCGCUACAAGCCUGGUUAGGGACAAAACGUAGAAGGUCUGUGUCUUGGAAGAGCCCUCUGUAUCCCCUACCAAGAAUGUACAUGAAACAUAUACACCCUGAUGUAAGCACCUCCUCAAAAAGGUAGCAAGAACGAAGUUUCCACGUCAACUUGCUAACUUUCGCACAAUUUAGUGGUGUCCCAAUGGUGACCUGCAAGGGUUUUCCAGCUGGGGAUGGUGAAUAUCCUAGUUUCCCUGUGUGUUUUAGCUUUCCAUUGAGGUACACAUUUGCAACACUAGUUUGAAAUAGUCCAGCAAGAGCAUUUGGUUUGCUAUGAACAACAGCAAGGUGAUGCCAUCUGCCUUCUUCAAAUUCUAAUCCAGAAAAAGAUAAGGCACUAGAGUUGCUAGUAGCAAGGGUUAGAACACCAUCCUCCUGAAGAUAAAGUUCUGCAUAAUAUGUGCUAUCAUCGCUUGCCAUACCAACAGAAAAUAUACGGAGAAUAUGCUGCCCAUUAGAACUACUACGCCUUUUGGAAGGGCCAGCUUUUGAUGGCUCUGUGUCCUUUACUUGUGAUUUCAAGAAAUGUCUAAACUGGAACCAACAAACAAAUGAAUAACCUGCAGAAGGAGGCCAGGACCUUUCUCCCAGAGACACCUGAACAGCAGCAUGGCCAAUCUUACUCAUGUCCAUCUCGACAAAUGGUGCCAAAGAUACAUUUUCUGAGGCCAUAUCUUCCAUGAGAAUCAACCUCUCCAUCAUAUCAACAAGAAUAUGACCUGACUUCAUAAGCCUCAUUUGCAGAAUGUAUCUAAUAAGCAGUCUGAGUUCUGAUGCAGAUAACCUAUCAGAAAAAUAUAAACCUUAGUUUCUAGGAUAAUCAUUGUCAAGUAAAUAACCACACAUUGUGUUCUCCAGAGACAUACCUAUAUGCACCAAGAACUUCCACAAUCUUCAGUGUGUACAAAAGCAAAGGAGAUGAGCCUGGAAGGAAUGGAUGGAUUGUCUCCAACAGAAGCUCCACACAGUCUACACAAGUGAUUGGGGGGGGGAGUUUAGUUAGACAUGCAAACAUGCAGACAAAAGAAUAAUAAAGACAAUCAAUAAAACAGGAGGGAUUGCAAGAAAAAAUUCAUUUCGCACCUACAGAGGUGAGGUUUUCCUGGUUAAAGGGUCCAGCAUGAGCAAGCCUUUCUAUAAGGUUCAGUACUUCCAACUGCAUUUUGGGAGUGAAGAGCAACAAUAAGCGGAUCAGAACUCUAACAGCGGCAGCAUUGUACACUCGUUCCUUAUCAGGAUUAAACAAACCUGAUGGACUAGUUAAAAGAAAACCAGCUGACCCAGAUUCAAUCAUAUCAGUUGGCAAAGCACUGUCUGGAGACAAGAAUGGUGGAAGCACGAUUUCAAGAGCAAGCUCUGAUAACAACUGUAUGACUUGCUUUUCACAUUCCACACAAAGCAAGCCAGACUCGGAUAGAAGAUCAUAAAAGGUGUGGGAUGAUAUAAUAGCAUGCAAUUUUGUCCUGUUAAUGGCAUUAUCACACACUGCAGCUGUCAUCAGGCGCAGGAGGUAUGUGAACACCUUCAUGUAAACCUCUAAAGAAGAUUCUUCUGUCUGUUCUCCAUCACCUUGGAAACUGUGGAGUGUGGUCAGCAUAAGAGAAAACCCAGUGGCUUCACCAAAGACCCUCUGAGCUGAAGUAUUCACACCCAGUAUGCGCCACAAGGCACCCAUUGUGUCACAUUUUGCAUCACUUUGAAGCCUAUACUGAUGUCCCAUGCUGCUUGUAACCAUUCCGCUUUUGAGAACCUCAACAAGCAAACCUAGUUCUUCAGGAUGAGCCUGGUAAAUAAAAAUCGAAUGUUUCUUUUGGCAUGAGCUUCUGAAAACUAUUGGGGAUUAAUAAGAAAAAGAAUUCAGUUAUACAUGCAUGAGAGCAUGCAAAUCUAUUAUGACUAUUCAAACAUUUAACAGUUUCGUAGCAUGCUCACAUACCUGUGCAGUAUCUUCAGUGAUCAAACAUGACAAUAUCCGGAGAACCCCAGGACGGUGAACAUUAGACACAAGAAAAGGAAGAACGAUGGUCACACCAUUAGCUGAUCGAAAUGAUGCUUGACUGGCUUCAGCUUUCUUCACUAAAGAGACCAUACAAUCCCAUGCAACAGAUAUUGCGCCCUCAAUUUCAAAAAUAGGGAACUUCCCUGAACCACCAGAUUCCAUUAGCUUCGGUGAGGAAAGAAUAGCAUCUUUACUGUCCAUGUGUUUCUUGAAACUACUUGAGCUAGAUUUUCUUUCUGACUGACUAGGACUAACAGUUUGCUGUUCUAGACCCAAAAUAAACUUGUGCUGCUUCAGAUCAUCUAACAGAACUUCCAGUAAGCCAACUUCUCGCAGGACUUUUUUGUACUGUUGAUCAAAAGAUAAAAGUUUCAAAAAGAAAGAGAGUAUGGUGUGCUUCAGCUCUGAUGCUAUCGGUUGCUGCAAUAGGCAACAAAGAGAAAGCAACUCUUGCUCGGGAACACAAUUCACAACAGUCACAGCAUAUUCUAGAAUUUUCAAGAUUAUAUCUUGCAAUGAUGGUGGGAAACCAGCCAUGUUUAAGAUCAAAAGUGGAACCGUCCGUAAUUGCUGACACAACUUAUAGUUUUCAAGAUGACUUGAGAAUAUCUUAAACAUUCUGUUUAAUACUUCUGCCUGCAGUACGGCACUGUCUGCCUUUAGGAAAAUGUCUUGCAACAUCUGGACUGCUUCAAGGUCUUUAACUUUACCGUUGUCUUUCUCCCAAUUUUCAUCAGCAACACGAUCUAAAGAUGACAUGCGACUUCUGCCAUGGCGGGUGUGAGAAGGUUUGGAACUUUUGCCUCCAGGCCAUGCCGUAGAUUCAGCAGGACCAGUUUGAGAUAGAUUAACGAGUACAUCAAGCAACCUAGAUAAUGCAGGUGAUAACUGAGCUGGUGAAGGGUCUUCUUUUUCUGUGAAAUCCUGUCUUCGUUCAUCAUUCAUCACAUGAGAAAUACCUGCUAUACCAUCAAAGGCACGAGAAGUCUUGGAAUAAAAAGACUGAGAGUCCUGACUUUUUGGCAAAGAGGAUAGAACCAAUGCAAACUGCACAAGGAACUGAUAGCCAUGGGCAUUAUGUAUGUCUUCCCUGAGCCUGACACCACCAGCUUCUACAAUUCAAAAUUGUACAAAAAAUAAGCGGUAACAUACAUAUAACAAUUUUAGAGCUCAAAAUAAUCUGAAUUCCAGAUUAUUCUGGAACAAUAAAUUAAUAUAUUUUACAUCUUGUUUCAGCAGUCAAGACCACAGAAUUUUGACCCAUUGAUCUUAUGGAAUUCAAGAAGUAAAACGUAUGGCCACAUUACCCUGUCUGUAUGACAAUUCCACACAUUCAAGUAACAAGUCCACAAUGCCCAUGGUGUAGGCAGAAUCACCACAGUCUGGAUUGAAAUCUUUAACUGCCAUUAAAAGAACUUUUAUCUGCACAUGAAACAGAGAUAUCACCCAAUGAGCAGGAUCUGUAGAAAAUAAAACAAGACAACAAACUACACAAGUUAUUAUAACCAGAAACAAGACACUGACAAGGGUUUUUUGUUCAAUAAAAGCUUCACUAGCAAAAAGAAUGGCUAAAUUCUAUGUCAUGACUAGAGUAACAACACACUUCCAAAACAAGGUUAGUUUUAGGACAACAAAGGCAUGUUUCAAAAUUGUCAAGAUGUUCAAAAUUAGGUCAACAGACAAAAGCCUACAGUACUGUCUCAAAGUUUAUUCCAAUUGAUGACUUCACAGAGAAGGGUAUAUAGUUAGCUACCAAAGGAUAUACUGGGAUACAUCACAUGCAAAAGGUUAACGGUACACAAUACACUACUAAUUCCAGGAUGCAUUAUUACAGGAAAAGCAUGAACAGAUCACUUGUUCAAAAGUUAAGAGCAUGAAAUGGAUGUACAACUAUGAUCUCUUGUUGUCUUUGUAAAAUGAUUUAAUGGCGACCCCCUGCAAUUUGUCACUUCUUAUCCAAAAAAACAAAAAAGAACUGUGGCGAACCAAUUGCAUGCAUUUGCCCUGUGAUUCUCAUUUCGCAUCAAUAAUCUUCUAGUUAGAACUGCUUGUGUAUUACAAUUCUGUGGUUUUCAUUUGCAGUUCAUUUAUACCUAUAUACAUGAUAAUAGAGUUUUUAUAUCAAGGAUUGUCUAAAACCACUUCAAUUACUUAAUUCAACCAAAUAAAAGCAAACUAGAAAAGUUCUAAUUAUUGUGUCAGCAGAUUUUAGACAGAUUUAGGUGAUACAAACACAAAGUUAACUUUAGUAUUGAGAAUUGGUAACAACAGCUUAAAUCCCAGUAAACUUUUAUAGAGAAGCUGCUGAAAAGACCAGAAGGGUCCAUCAUUCCAUAUUCUUCAAUAUAGAAAAUGGGACAGAUGAAAAUGUAGAUUACAAGUUAACUACAGUACUGUAUGCUUUUCUAAUGUAAUUCUUAUCUGCGUGUUGCCAAUACCAGAUGGUGUUUGCGUAUAUAUCUUGCAGUGCUUCCAUUGUCGUUGACUAAAAGAAGACCAAGUAUCUGAAGCAACCAAAAACAGAUAGAAGCAGUUUCAAACAGUGAGCCAUGAAGCUUGCCUGAAUCUCUUUAAGUGGCUAUAAUUUUAAGAUUCAUGUGCAGCUCCAUUACUGCAUUUAUGGACCAAAGGCUAUACAUUUACCUGCAUUGCAUGCCUAUGAAGUUGUAUGCUGUGCAGGGGAACAAGACCUUCUUUAUACCGAGAAAAUAUUGUUAAAGACCCAUUUGCAACCAUCUGAAACAGCGACUGAAGUGAAUCAUCUUCAAUCAAGCUUUGUGCAGCUGAAGGAUGACUUGCUAAUGCUUUCAUAAUAUGCAUUACGCUUCCCUCCACCUGUAUGGAAAAAAAGAGAAAAAAAUAGACUUCAUAUGCCUAAUUCUAGUCUGUAAAUUUUAUUUACCUGAUCAAGAUGACAUAAAGGCAAAUAAAAGUGUUAGUGUCUGAGAUGAUAUUACACAAGUUUAACCCAAACCAUGUCAAACAUCAUAUGGUUAGUAAACACAACCAGAAGAGCUAGCACAUAAAAAAAUCUACCUCAAGCCGGCGAACUUGCUCUAAAGCACCAUCUUGAUCUUUUUCAGGUGGAAGUGGUCCUUCACAGUUUGUGAGCUUUUGCCUUUGAUUGGCUUCGGUGCUCAGAAGGGCAUUAAGAAUGUGAAUGAGGCAGCAUAAUAUUCCAGAAUCAAGGAGAGACUGUUUAUCAAUAGGCUGAAAAAAAGAAAAAGAAAAUUCCUUAAAAUGCUUUAGUAAAAGUAGCAUGACAACAAGUGUUAGAAUUCCCUGUAGUUGACAAUAUUACUUUCUAGCCUCAUUACCAGGCAGCUUAAAUAGCCAAACAGUUUCAAUCACUCAAAAUCAAUUUCCAUUUACUUUUGACAAGGGACUGCAGAUUAGCCAAACACUGACUACAGAAGGAAACAAAUAUAAUUUCAACCCCGAAGCUUUUUGUCUUCUUUAUUUUAUCUCAAGUUGGUGAUUAUAAGAGAAACAUACCCCGGAUACAAGGGCUUCAACAGCAGUUAACAAAUUUGAACCGGGACUGAUGUCAUCCUAAAAAAAAGGCAGGGAGAACAUGGCUUCUAUUAACAAAUUAUCAGGAUAAAAGAGGAAAGGACAACAUUGUGAUAAAAGCUUUUAAAAGAGGCAAACCUUUGUAACUUCAGAGAAAAAUCUCAACACUUUCUCUACAUCCAAAGAUCUUGUUUUGCUGCCGAUUUUUAAUUUAUCAAUAUCAGUUACAAAUGCUCUUCCCACGACAAAAGAGAAUAUAUGUGUUUCAACUAGCCUGUGAUUCAUCAAAAAUUGCAAAUAUCUUCAAUCGUGCCAAGAACCAUGCAAAGCACUGAAAGCAGAAAUCUUAUUCAAUAAAUAAAAACAACUGCCAGAGCUGCUGUUGACAUGCAUUCAUGAAUUCAUACGAAGCAAGAAAAGUAGGAUAUCUUAUGCAACUGAGAAAAUCACAUAGAUUUGCAAAAACAAUUAUUGAAUGAAAUAAAAGGUGGAAGCCAAUAGAAACUUCUGUGGAUACGAAAUAAGUUUCAUGGAUGAUCCUGUGCCUAAAGUUGUUAUGAGAUCCAAGAAGAGUUAUAGUCGCCAAGAGUAGACUGAAUUUUUCAGAGGAAACAGAUUGAGAAAGUGCAGUUUGAACAAUCAGUAUGAAAAUGCUAGCCAACUCUUUGUUGACAAAGAACUAUAUUCAUUAUAGAAAGACAAAUGUUAACUACCAAUGUAGAAUAAGAAAUUCUCCUAAGAGAAAGGGAAAGGAUAAUAAGAAUGGAAAAGGAUGUUAUAGCGAUGACUCUUUUUAAACCACAGACAUAGAAACACCUCUAAAGUCACUUAAAGUAGUACAUCUAAAGUAAAACUUAAACACUAUAAUAUCCUGUAAUUGUUGCCUUGAUGUAAAUUAAUUCUUGAAAAUUCAAUAAUACAGCUGCAUCAGAUGCGUGGAAUAACCACAAACACAGCAUGCCUAACAUGAUCUUUUUAAUCCUUCUAUUGCAAAUGACAAUCUUACAAGUACAAUGAAUUAAAUAAUGGCAAAAGAAAGCUAAAACCAGUCCAGCAAAUCAAAAGUGGAAGACCGUCCAUACAUGGUGACUAAUUGAGCUACAUUAGCGUGCUGCUUCACUAAUCUACAAAAAACAUCUACAGUCAAAUUCAAGGCCGUUUCUUUCUCCUGCAUAGGCAAUGAAAGAGCUAUCAGCAAUCACUAUUUGUUUUACAAGUAAUGAUAAAUUGCGGGAAAACAGUGAUGAGAUAUCAAAAAAAAGGAUGGCAAGUAAAAAAGACAGGAAUCACGAACUUUUUCGGAGCUGGAUGAGCGGAACUCCUCCCAAAAUCUCUUGAAGUCCAAUUCCAACUCAUGUCUAUCUCUGCAUUUCAUAGGGGGGGGAACAGGGAAAGAAAAAAAAGGAACACAAACGUUUACACUGGUGUGAAAUGGUAAGCUUGAAUGUGGUAAUAGAUCAGAAACUUACAACAUGUAAAUCCAUAUAUUUACAACGGUAUAGAUCAUAGAGUAAUAAGACUAGAUUUAGGGUGGAAUAUCAAGAUAGGAAGAUACAGAUAUGCAUUAUUGACAACCAGAAAGCUGGUGAAUCUUAUGAUUUAACUUCGCCUAAGUCUGGUAAAAUAAUGCAAAAGGGUUAAAACUGCUAAUUAAAGUUGAUAAACUAUGGUGAAGCAUGAGAUCUUUUGAGAUUACAAAUAUUAAGGUUUUCAUAGAUUCAAGUGCAACUUUAUACAGAGACAACUUGAUCCUAUAAAUUCCUGCUAUGAACAUAGUAACAAAAAUUGCAGCAUCAGCAUCCCUUGUAUGAUAGAAAAGAAAGCACAAGCACAAGGUAUUAUCAGUAUAGACAUUUACUAGAGAGAGGGAAACAUUUAUGGCGAAAGAUCUGCCGGAACUAAUCCAAACAAUAACAGCAUUGCAUUUUGAAAGCAUUCAUAGUCCAGUUAUCAUUGAGUCAGUGCCCAACACACACCUCGCCAAAUGCUAAACCUUGAUGCAAAUCCUUGCAGUAUGAGGUAUUCUGGUAACUAAUGGUGAACUAAAAGUCACCAGGAAAACAACAGACACAACAACAACCAAGCUUCGAUCCCAGAAAAUGUCAUCAUUGCUUACUUUGUAAACUAAUACCAUCCACGAUUCGCCUAUUUGAAUUAUAAAGCUCCUUCAUACUAGUUUUGAAAAGAGAGAGAGAGAGAGAUCAUCAUCAAUUCUACAUUAGGCAUAGUCUAUCACAGUCUUGUUAUAUCUUAGACCUUUAGAAUCUAAAAACUUUAUCCAUAUUUUCCCUAAAAAAUAAAAUCAAUUCAAUACAUAAAUUUGUGCAUCGCUACUGGAUAUUACUAAUUUAAGAAUGUAUUGCUUAAUCAAAAACAACAAAUCGCCAAGUCGUAUUUACAAAACAAUAGUCAACAGAGCUCAUCUAAUCCGCUUACAGAUCAAAAUUCAAGAGCAGUCAACGCUGAUUACGCUUCAAUUUCAAAUGUGAAACUAAAAACGCACCAAAUCAAUCAUAUACUAAACAAAUAAAUAAGCGAUGAACAUGUAUGAUAAAUAUAAAAUAUUUUUUAAAAAAGGAAGAGAAAAGAACCUGGAAGGAGAUGCAGAGAAGUCUUGGAAAGUGGAAGAAGAGGAAGCAUUGUGUGAAUAAGCAGGCGAUGAAGGAGGAGGAACAGUGGUAGCUGGUGAACUAGAAGAUGGAGAGUGAGUUAAACCGACCUUCUCUUUUAUAUCCUUAAGCAAUGUUACCCAUUUCAUCGUUUUCUCACUUUCAAUUCUCUUCUACGAUUCCCUCUCAUCCAACGACGACGACUGACGGACGACGAUUCAAUUCAGUUUCACCAGAUCCAAAGCCUUGUUCCAGAAUAUUACAAUGCUAAUACUGAUAAAUAUCUACAAGGAUCUCUAUGGCUCUCCUUCCCUGGCUCGGAAUUAAAAUAAUUAACGAAAGAAAAUAAAUAAAACGAAGAAAUUGAAUCGAUUGAGCUAGAAUGGGAGAGGAAUGAUCGGAGUCGGGAUUUAUGGGCAGCAAGAUCUGGGGGAUUUAAUUUCUCCGUUCGUGUUUUGUGUCUUGCUGUUUUUACUUAAUUUUAAAAAAUUUCUAGGGGAAAUGUGAAAUUAUUUAGCCCUAAAAAAGGGAAACGCGACUUCGGCUAUGAUUAUGAGAAAGUAAACCAGGAAGAAGGAAAAAAAGGAUAAUAGAAUGACGAUUAUUUUUUAUGAUUAUUAUUGUUAUGAGUUAAUCAAGAAAAUUCCUCUCUCUCUACUCGACUGCUGUUUUUGGACGGCCACUCCGCGCCUUGUUUCUCGCUCUAUAUCUCUCUUUCUUUCCCGUUUUCGUUUCUUUCUCUGCCUACGAUAAUCAUUUUUUUAUUAUUAAUUUGUUUUCUCGCUCUAAAAAAGACUUCCUAAGUCCACAUAGAAACGCUGCCUCUCCUCGACCACGUCAUCGUGGGAUCCACGACGCUCGGGUACUCCACGUGGCGUCUCCAGAUUGUCGGACAAGACGUGAUUUCCUCUUCGCUUUUGGUCUUUAUCAUCAUUAGUUUGUUUUUAAAAAAAAACAAUUAAAAAAUUUAAAUUUUAUUUAUUUAUUUUAAAUUAACUUUUUUAAUUUAAAUUCUAUCGUUUUUAUAUAUUAAUAUUAAAAAUAAAUUUUAAAGAAUAAAAAAUACUAUUUUAGUAUAUUUUUAAAUAAAAAAAAAUCUUUCAAAAUAACCGUAAUAACAAACAGGUAGUUUACACUGUAGAUUCCACAUUGGAUUACGAGGGAGGUUCUAAAUAAACUUUAAAUAGCUGCUUUUGAGGUUCUUUACUGUGCACUAAUAUUGUUUUGGGCGGCAUUUGAGUGAAUAUUGAUCGAAUCUUUUCCACGUUCCUUAAUGCAAAGGCAUCUAAUGUCGUGAGUCGUGACUAUUAUUGAUUACUGCUCCUUGAGAUCUAAAUGAGAAGUUAGGAUGGAUAAUUUUCUUUUUUGCAGAGAUGUAAAAAAAAAAAAAGCGUGAUUACUUAAUGUUACUUAUGAAGAUAUAUAGUAUAAUACAGUGAUUAUUUUAAUUGUUUGGUAGAUGAUAAUUUUUUAUUAAAUUUAGUUAAAACUAGUUAUUUGACUUGCAACAACACACUGGAUAAUUUUUUUUGGCAAAAACAAUAUGCAUAUUUUUCCAAUAUUUUUUUAAUUGUAAGAACAAAAACAAAUAGAUGAAGAACAAAAUUGAAAAUAAAAAUAUUUGAUUCAAAAAUAAAAAAAUAUAAAAUAAUCAUGAUCAACCUGUCAAAUUCAUGAUUAAGUUCAUACAUCUAUUUAAUUAUACACCAACAAGGUGUAUGGCACCUUUUUAUAUCAAACAAAAAAAAUUAAAAAGUAUAUAGAGAUAGGUUACGCGGGGAAUUGAAAUAAAAAUAACCUCAAUCUAUUUAAAAUUUAUGAUAAAAUGAGUUUUUUUCAAGUAAAAAAACUAAAAAAACAAACAAACAACAAAAUGAUUAAUAUUAAAAAUACAUUAAAUAAAAAAAAAUGAGAGGGGCAUGGGCUACUCAUUCACCAAACCUAUAAAAAAGCUUGGAUCGCAUGUUAGGCUUGUUAAAGAGGUCUAACCUGUGAGCUAGACAUUUAAAGUGAAUGAUGGAUUAACUGUUUUUUAAUUUUUUUAAAAAAAUAUAAAUAAUUUGUUGUCUUCUAGCAUAACCAAGGAUUGUUAAAAAUUGAAACAUGUGUAUUUCUUGUUUAGAAAUUUGAUUUUCAAUUGAUUUUUUUUUAAAACAUUUUAAAAAUAUUGAUAAAUCCAUUAAUAACCUUAAAAAACAUACAAAAACUCAAUUCAAUUUGAAACUAGAAAUCUUUUCGAACUCAUAUAUAUUUUUAUGUAAUUUGAAAGAUGAAAAAUAUCUAAGUACAAUUUAUUUUUUUCAUCAAAUAUAACUUGUUAACAACAAUAUCAAUAAUUUUAAUGGAUGAAAUAAAUGUCUCUUUAUCCACCGUAGAAAUUCUACAAACACUGAGUUUAAAAUAAGCAUGAAGCUUGAUGAAAGGAAAGGUGUUAGGUAGAUCGAGUGAUUCUACAAUACGCUGUUUCCACUGGCUCAUAUUUUCUUCCUAUCAAACUAAGCGGACUAGAAAUGUUAGGUGAAUAGAGGGCGAUGUCUUUUGUUUUGUAUCCUAGAAACAACCAGGGCCGUCGCUUGUCAAAGAUGAAAGGAGGCCAUAAAUAACCAAUAGUGUACCAGUAAUAAAAGUUUGGGAUUAAAAGAUUUAUUUUCUCUGUGAUCUCAGGUUCGAGCCCCGUGGUUGCUCAUAUGAUGGCCACUGGAGACUUACAUGAUCGUUAACUUCAAGAUCCGUGGGAUUAAUCGAGGUACGCGCAAGCUGGCCCGGACAUUCACGUUAAACUAAAAAAAGAAGGAGGCCAUAAAUUCGUAGCUCUACCACACUCAUAUCGAGCAAACCUUAUACUAGCCCCCCAGCUAUUAUUUUUUUCAAUUGAGUCAUCCAACUGCUAAUCUUAUCAAUCAAGCCCCCAUGUACACGCUUUUCAUCGACCAGGUUCUUCUAUCAAAGUAAUUAAAGAUAGGAGAAAAAAAACAAUACAUUUGGUCAUUUACUAGUCAUGCCCUCUCCAACAGAUCAUAAUUUUCCAAAAUCCUAGACGCGAAACACCCAAUUUCUUCAUUCAUCCAGCACGUGCAAGAGCAUUGAUCGGAAUAUGAAACCGCUUUGAUCGUGCCUUGAAUGUCCCUAACUUGUUUUGAUCGAAGAAAUAUAACCAGCAUGCUCGCUAUCCUAAGUAGCUUGGAGACUUAAUUAAAAGGAAUGUAUGGUUGGGGACUGAACCGAGGUCUGCUCGAAAGAAAUCAAAAGGUCAACGACUCAUUGCCGGUGAGUGGCUGGGUGCCAAAUUUCCCAGUCCAUGAAUUACACCUGGUAAACUCAGCAGGAUAGUGAUUACUUGAGACUUUUCUGCUAGUAGACGUGUGAUCGUAGGAAAAAUGUGGUGGUGGUGGAGGCGGACCUAAAGCAAAGUUGCCAGAAAUAAUAUUAUGAUUAUAGUAGUGGCACUAAAUUAUCUCAUCUGAUGGUAACAAACUAUACCAGUCCAGCAAGUUAUCCAGAGACCCAAUCAAUUCGAGGUAUUGAUUGACCAAAAUUUUAAAAUAUAAAUAUAAAUUUAUUUUUUAUUAUUUUAGUUAAUAAAAUUAAUAAAACUUGGGUUAAUUUAUUGAAUUUAUUACCCCGGUUAAAACCAAGCUCUUCAUCACUUGACUUUUUCAAAAAAAAUCGGUACAUUGUUUUAUUUAUUUAUUUUUAAAUGGGGUUAACGUGAUUUUAAUUUUGCCACUGCCCGAGUAAAGUUCUGAUGCUAGGGCGAGACUCGCCUAACGUGAAACGUGUGCGGCGUUGACAUGGUAGUUCACGUGUAGAUUUUAAUGUUUUUAAUUCCGGACCGUGACAAAAUCAAUCCACUUGGCAUCUCCGUGAAGUGAAAUAUGCUCCGCGAAAGGGCGCUCUCUUCAACAUUUGAUAAUCCAAUGGGCAAUUAAUUUAAAAGUCAGGUCAAGUUACUGACGAGUCAAUCUAGCCGUGAGUGCAAAUGGUCAACGCAUUCAGGGAAUGUUUAUCUCCAUCAAGGGACCAGCUUUCCCCGCACAAAUACUGAUUUUCCUAUAACCUCAUGCCUGACGGAAGCUAUACCAGAAAAAUUAAAGAUACUUUUCACGGUAUAAUAUAUAUAUAGAAAUUAGAGAUAAAAUAAUAUUUAUAAUUUUCUAUUACUUGACGGUAUUAAGUAUCUAUUUAAAAGUAUGAUAUAGAUUGUUUUAAAAGUAAUUUCAAAAUAAAAAAAUAAUUAAACUUUUCUUAUCAAAUAAAAUAUUUUAAUAUCAAAAUAAAUUAUUUUAGUAGCCAAAAUUAAUGUUAAUGUUAAUUUUUUUUUUCUAUCAUUGAAUCUGGCAUUCUCUCUCCUUCUCUUUCAAAUCAUGAAUUUGAGGGAUCGAAAGUUUAAUUUGUAAAGUUUGAGGAUUAAAAUAAAUUUUUUUGUGAUUACUUUGAGAUCAUCAUUUAUUUGUGGUGUUUUUUUCAUCUUGAUCUCUUACUUUUAAAUUUUAUUUUUAAUCAAUAAAUUUGAUUUGAUUGUUCUUUAAUGAUGCCAAAAAAAAAAGCAACAAUAUAAAAUAAAAUAUAAAGAAUAAAAUGAAAAAAGAAAGAAGCAAAUCCAAGUAAAAUACAAGAAGAUAAACAGUAAAGGAAUGCACAGUGUUUAUACCAGAACGAUUAAAGUCUUCGUGAUGCAAUGCGCCAGAAGAAGCGAGAAGAAAAGUGAGGAAACAGAUAAUAAACGAGCGAGGCCCAUAGGACCCCGAAUGGGAAACCGCGUGGAAGUGGUACCCACUGUCUGAUUAUUCGAACGAGAAAGCGCGCGAGAGUACUGGCGGACCAAAAAAAAAACCCUUAGGUCCAGGCCUUUUUUCCCUCUCAUCUGAGUUCAAUCUCUCUCGCCAGUCAUCAUUUCCUACCACUUACUUAAUUAUUUAUGCCUUUCAACGGUGGCUCGAGCGAUUCAAAUUUAAGCUUCUUUGAAUCCUUCAAUAACAAAAGGAAAAAAAAACGGUUUGAAUUCUCCUGCUGUUUUAUCCAUUCAGACGUGCCAAGCUUAUCUCUAUUAUUUAUUAGACUAGGUUAUCAACUAUACCUAUCAUUCCAUGAUUUCCAUCGUUUAUAAUAACUGUUUUUUUAAAUGCUUUUCGCACGGAAAUAAAUUAAAAUAAUAUUUUUUUUAUUUUUAAAAAAUAUUUUUGACAUCAACGCAUUAAAAUAAUUUAAAAACAUUAAGAAAUUAUUUUGAAUUAGAGAAAUAAAAAUUCAAAUAUUUUUAAAAAUACUUUCAAAACACAAAAAUAAACGGGGUUUAAGUUUAUAAUUUUAAUUAAAGAUAGAUGAUAGCUAAGAAAUUAUUUUGAAUUAGAGAAAAAAAAUUCAAAUAAUUUCAAAAAUAUUUUCAAAACAUAAAAAUAAACGGGGUUUAAGUUUAUAAUUUUAAUUAAAGAUAGAUGAUAGUUGCUUUUGAUGGCAGGCGGAGUCAAUAAAUUUUUUUUUGGGGGUUAAAUUAAUUUUUAUUUAAAGGGGUUAACACAUAAAAUUUACUAGUUUUAGGGUUUAAAACAAUUUAAGGAAAGGCAUAUAAUAUUUUUUUUUAGCCAGGACCGGGCCCCUGCCCCUGAUUACUUUCAUCAAUCAAAAACUUUAUACUUCACGUGAGAAAUUUGGUAAAUAAUUGGCAUUGAAUUAAUGAUGUGAUGAACGAUGUGGUGUUUAAAUUGAGAUUCGUUUAGUAUUUUUUUAUGAAUAUUUGUUACUAGAUAUCAAACAAGAUCAUGCAUGCACGAGUGCUCGAGAAGAAAAAAACAUAUAUAAGUAGUGUAGCCUAACAUUUUUUUUUAGAAAUUCGAUUAUCAAUGUUUUUUAUAUUCGAAUAACCUAAAAACUCUCGACCCUCUCAAGAGAAAAAAGAAAGAAAGAAUACCAUCAGGAGUGGUCCGAUUUUCUCAACACAUCAAAUGGUAUAGCUAUAGAGGAUCUACAACCUUUCGAGGGGUGGUUUAAAUGUUAGAGUCAUUAACGAUCAUUUUCUAUCUAUUAAAUUAAAUAUGUUUGGUAUUGUAAUAGUUUUUAUGGUUGUGGUUUGAAAAAAAUAUUUUUAGUUGAGGUUGGUUUGAUAUUUAUAUAUGUUUGGUUAAAACUGUGGUUGAAUUCGAGGUUGAACAAAAAAUAGUUUAAUGUGUUUGAUAAAAAAAUUACUUUUUAAAUUGAGGUUAUAUAUAUAUAUAUAUAGUUUUGAAUUUAAAUAUUGUAGAUUUAACUGUUGCUAUUACAUCAUGAAAUAAAUAAUAUUUUUUAUAAAAUAUUUUUUAUUAUUCAAUUAAACUAUCUACAAUUCCAUCAUGUAUGAAAUACAUCCAACAAGGACCAGGACUACAAUUUUCUUGGCUUCUUAAGCGCGCAACAACAUCAUGUAAAAUAUAAUUAGGAACAAAAUUGGAAUUGCGAUCAAAUUCUACAAAUGCUACGUCAUCAAUAAAACACAGUUAAAAAUAAUAAUAAAAAUUUAAUUUUUUUACUGGGUUAGACCUGGUUCAAUGCAUUUAGCUUUGGACCGGACCCGGUUCGGCUGGAAUCAUGCAGUUCACGUGAACAGUGGUGCAUGUCUCCACUGUUCACUUAAGUAAACAAUAGAGCUCUCCAUACUGAAAGCAGCACAAUGCUGCUUUUAGUGAGACUGCAUUUUUAACAUAGGAAUUGUUGGGGCUCACGCACGUGAAUCCACUUUUCAUCCGUUACCAAACAUAUGUUUUCUGUGGUUGGCUUUAAACGCAGAAGCAACCACGGAAACAAAUUGGAGGUGCUGAACUUGACAAUGCUAAUUAAGUGUUUGUUUGAGAGUAUGGUUGCGGUUGUUUUUUAAAGUACUCUUCAUGCUAGAUGCAUCAAAAUGAUAUUUUUUUUAUUUUUGAAAAAUUAUUUUUAAGAUCAGCGUAUCAAAACGAUCCAAAACAUACAAAAAAAAUAAAAUUUUUAUGAGACGCGUUUUGCACUGCGUUUCCAAACAGUGCUUAGUCUUUCAAGCUCGAAAAGGAUAGGGAAGUUGAGAGUGCACGGCUUGCAUAAGUGUAAUAUUUGUUAGCCGUAGUCUUCUAAAAAUUAGUGUUGUAUGGAUGUUUGAAAGUAGGGUAAUCGUUAUUUUUCAAAAUAUUUUUUGUUGAAAAUACAUCAAAAUAAUAUUUUUUUUAUUUUUAAAAAAUUAUUUUUAAUAUCAGCACAUUAAAAUGAUCUAAAAAACUAAAAAAAUAUUAUUUUAAAGUAAAAAAAAAAACAAAAAAAAACUGCCAAGGCAUCCUCAGUAUCCAGGGAUCUCACACCCACAUGCAUGUCAUCAACCCUCUCACGAAUUGCUCUCACUACGUGCUGGCUCUCACUUCGAGACAUGCACUUCAAAUGUGAGAUCGUUGCAAGCCUUUUAUGUAAUUGUUCAUCCACCAAACAAUACAACAUUCCCUUGCUUGCAAGGUAAACAACCCUCCUCCCUAUCCGUACAGAGGUCCCAGGUCAAUGGGUAUUACUCAACGAGAGCCCUUCAAUCCUCCUCGUCCUGGUCGGUUUGGACCGUAUCCAUCAGUGUCCAGUUUGACUGAUCAAUACUUGGUAUUUGUAGGACCUUUAUCCAAACAUCCAGUGGUGGCUCUGCAAGGUUAAAGCUAACCUUGACAAGAGGUCAUGUCCGUUGUUUUACUCUAUUGGAAUUAUUGUGGCGGAGAUUGUCUUAUUGGUACUUGAUAAUAGAGGAUUAUGCACCAUCUAAUUGCACCAGUUUGGCAUACCAAGGUUGGUCAGGAACGAACGAGCGUAACCACCCGGAAGGAUUGCUGGUCUAACAGGCCUGGCCCAUUCUGCUCUACUUCUCGGCCUUGGGUCAAAAUCCUGCCCCAUCAUAACUCAGCAAAAGCGUUAUAGUGAAGAGGCACAACUCUGAAAAUGAUAUGGAUUUAUUAUUAACAUGAUAUACAUAUAUUUUUUUUGUAAAGCAGUUGAACUUUACUGUAAUUAUUUCCCCCCAUUGUUUUGUAAUAAAAUCAAAUGAAAAAUUAACAUACUAUUUCGUUGAUGCUCAGGAGGUGUAGUAGCGAUUGUUUUUCUAAAUGCUUUUCAUUCAGAAAUACAUCAAAAUAAUAUAGCACAUCAAAACAAUAUAAAAACACAAAAAAUAAUUUAAAAAAAUUAAAAAUUUCAGUUCUUUUAAAACACACGUUUGCGUGGCCUUUAAACUGAACUUCAGUUUGGCAAUGUGAUUCCAGUCCAUAAUUGAAACUGCAACAGUGUGAGAAGUGCAUGAUGUUAACUUUGUUGAGUCCAGAUUUCAAUUCAAGCCAUUGACUAGUAACAUAAUUGCAACAAAUGGUGCUCCAUCUUCACGGCAAUAAACGGAAAUAGAACUGAAGUUAGAUCCCAAAAUCCGACCUCCAAAUCAGAUUCUAUCAACUGACCAAGAUGAGGGUGUAAACAUCAUAUACGCAGGAACGGUCCAACCUCCCAGGGAAAUUUUGCACCCCAUAGUUUCAAACUCAAACAUGGGAACUGUAAAAUUUUUGGCACUUAGAGCAUGUUUGGCUACGCGGCUGCGGUUGCGUUUUAAUUAAAAUACAGUUUAUAGCUGUUUGGUUAAAAAAAAAAGUUAUAUACUGUUCAUGAGUUUCAUUUGGUUUUUGUGUUGGAAAUGCAGUUAAAGAAAAGCAAGCAUUCCUUGCUUUUCUUGUACUGUUCAUGUUAAUUGCACUAUUCAAUAAAUAGUGCAAUUAACAUGAACAGUGUAUAGUGAUAAACUGUUUGUGAACGCAAAUUGAACUGUUCACUUAAAAAAUAGUGAACAGUGCAAUUCUCUUGCACUGCGUGAUCUUUUUUUUUUAGUGUGUUAAUUUUUUAAUAUUUUUUUUAAAAAUAGUUUAGAGUGAAUUUUAUACCUGAUAAUAUUUUAUCUAAUUUUAUUACACGCUAAAUAUUUUUUGAAAACUGUAGUUCUUGUCAGAUGUAUUUCAUACGUAAUGGAAUUAUAGAUGGUUUCAUAGAAUAAUAAAAAAUAUUUUAUAUAAAAUAUGAUUUAUUUCAUGAUGUAAUAGCAAUAGUUAAAUCCACAAUAUUUAAAUUAAAAAUCAUCAAUAGUAAUAUAUAUUUUUUAAAUUAUUUUAUAAUCUCAAUUUUAAAAGUAUUCUUUACCAAAUACAUUAAACUAUUUUUUCUUUAACCUCAAUUUCAACCACAGUUUAACCAAACAUCUAAUUUUUCAAACCAACCUCAACUAAAAAUAAAUUUUAUAAAAUAAUUUUUUUCAAAUCAAAAUCACAAUCAGAACAACUAUCGUAAUACCAAACUUACCCUUAACUUAAAGUGUGUAGUUAUUGAUGUCUUAAAAAGAGUCUACUAUGGGCACAUUAUUCCACUGAUGGAACUGCCAGAUGGUUCCAUAUCCAGCCACGUUGGUAGCACAACAGGUUACUUCUCCUACAAUUCUCCACAGAGAUGAUGCAUUAUCUUACCACUGUGCUGAAAAGGACAGCUAUACUCAUGAUUGGAUGGCCAAUCAAUCGAGUAUGGCCUGACCUGGUGAACUGCAAGAUUGGCAAUAAAAUUAUCAUCUAGAUGAGCAUAAAUAAGCAACAUAAAAGGAACGACUGAACAAGAAGGAACGCGAUUAUUACAUGAUAUUUUUUUUUUUAUGUGCUGGGAAAUCCUUCUAUCGAAGCUCAAACUUUUGCUGGUUUUGAAGCUUUGCAAAUAAAUAUUUAUCUUCGCAACAUGACAGUUUUAGAAAUCAAAACCAAGACUUUGAUUCUAUGCAGCUCAAUUUGGAGUGAAACAUAUCAUAUCAACUCUAAAUGUCACACCCCACCUGGAAAAGAUAACCAAAAGUUAAGAAUGCUAAACUUUAAGAGGCAUUCUUAACUUUUCAAAUUUCAAUUCUAGCCCAUCCGUUGCCCCAUUCGAAAGGUCCUUGUUAACUGCGAAUCCUAAUCACAAACACCAUCCACCAUAGUUAUUCGUACAGCCUUGUGAUGAUCAGCAUGCAAAAAAUGAUAAAUUUGUAGACGAAAGAUUUCCCAAGAAACGACCUGUUUGUUUUUUUAUGAUUUUUCUAGCCAGUAAGAAGACUUAUUCUCAUUGCUUAAGAAGACCUGUGCUAAUCAAUAUGACAACCAUGCUACUUCCUAGAACCUGCCACUCAAUUACAUGCUCUUGAUUGAUGGGUAAUGGGGAAGACGGAUCUGAGGAUCAUUAAUCCUCCUCACCAAUCACAUGACUUCUUGAGCAUGAAAGAUCCAUGUAUCUAAGUAUCUAACCCUGAAAAUUAUAACAUCUAUAUAGAACAAUUGGCUGUAAAUAUUCAUAAUUGCGUUGAGAGAACUAUUGGAGGGCAGCAAAAAAACUAAGUUAUGGACACAAACCAGGAAAAAAAAAAUGGGAAUCACCUGCAGCAGUACCACCAGGAUUAUAAUCUAGACGAUCAGCCCUAAAGAUGCCCCAGGCCAAACAAAUCCUCUCCAACGCGCCAUAACCAUUUGAAGCAGCAGAAGUAUAGAAUUGCACAUCCUUGAAUAACUCAGGAAACCACACUUCCUCUUCCUAACCAAGAUAGCAGCCCUAUGCAAUUGAUCACCCUGCAUUUCUCCCUGAUUUAGAAAGCUAUCUGAUGAACGAAAACCAUGGAGAAACUGCUGAUCAGAACUGCCAACACCGGAAUCCAUUACAGGAAAGAAAAGAAAAGAAUAAACAUGUAGAAUGUGGCAAUGAGAUUGAGCAACUAGGGCUUCCUAGAAGGUGCUAGACUUAACAAACAUCUACGGGGAGGCAGAGCAGGAGUUUCAUAAGGAAUAAAAGAUUCUGAACCUGCUAAAGACUAUUGAGAUGACAACUGACUAGAUCAAUUAUUGCGGAUGAGAGUGGAGUCAACAAUCUUAUUAGUUGAAUAUUUAUUAACAAUAACUGUUAACUAACAAUUAAUACUCUAAAAGCAAAAAAAUUGGAAAUUACAAACAACAAAUACCUGAUGACCACACCUAACAGCGGUCUUCUUCCUUUCCUCAUUCAAUUUCC
rnacentral:lncRNA from 1 species